CUCCUGGAAAGCUACACAAAAACUUAAGCUAAUCCAUACAGACGUGGGAGGACCCCUAAGCACUCCUUCCUUGAACAUUGGCAGAUAUUAUGUGCUAUUUAUUGAUGAUUACUCUCGAAUGUGUUGGAACUAUUUCCUCAAAUUGAAAUCUGAAGUGGCUAGCGUAUUCUCGAAGUUCAAAAACCUGGUUGAAACUCAGAGUGGCUGCAAGAUUCAGGUGUUACGAUCUGAUAAUGGUACUGAAUAUACCUCCUCCGAAUUCAGCUCUAUCUGUGACAAAGCUGGCAUUGAACAUCAACUUACAACUCCUUAUACCCCUCCAACAGAAUUGGGUCAGUGAGCGACGAAAUCGGUACCUUAUGGAGAUGGCUCGUUGUCUAAUACAUGAAAAUGGCUUGCCGAAGAGCUUCUGGGCGGAGGCUGCACGCACUGCUGUGUUUUUACAGAAUCGUCUGCUCACUGCUGUGACCAAUGUUACUCCUUUUGAAGCUUGGUAUGGUAUCAAACCUUCCUUUAGUUUUCUAAGAGUUUUUGGAUGCCUUUGCUAUGUUCAUAUACCUUCAUCUAAACGUGACAAACUAGACAAGAAAGAACAGAAAUGAAACUGAAAUCAAACAUAAACUGAAAUUAAUCCAACUCGCAUGAAUCGUUAAAUAUAAUAAAAUCAUUCGUUCAUAAGGAUAUACCUAAGGUUCAUCUAAUAUAAGCACGAAAAAGUUUAGCUGCUUAUAAUCUUGAAAGACAAAUAAAAAUUAGAAGAGGAAGACAUUGGCUCUAGGUUUACACAAAGAAUUAUAAAAAACCUAAUUUCACUAACCUUCCCGAGAGCUUGAUUCGCCGUCUUGAUUACUUCGCGGAUUACAAGCUCCUUGAAAUUGCUUCUAAGUCUCUCUCAAAUAUCUCAAUAAAACUCUCAAUUUGGUCCAAGGAAGUCUAUCUUUGAAUGAGGGAGAACUUUGCUUUAAAUAAGAUUUCAAAAAUUUCCUUUUAAUCCCGGAAUGUCAACAUUAGCGCUAUAGUACAAAUUAACUAUUUCAUAACGCCAAAAUUGCAUGAGGUUCUAGAGAGGAUGGUCAGUAUUGGCGCUAUAUACAUGUUUAAUUUUGCGCUAUGCCAUAGUGUCAAGUUUGACCAUGCAUAGCGCCAAUAUUGACAGCGUGCAGCCCCUUGAGGAUUUCUUCUCGAUUCAAUCAUCCUAGCUCGUUCCUGCAUGGUCGUAUUGCUCCGAAUAGUGCCUCAACACCGUCCUGUACGUGAAAUCUCAUAAAACCACUCGAAAACAACAUCAAAAGGACACCGAACGGGUCCAAGACACUAAAUCGAGAUAGAUGAUAGAAAUUAACGAAACAUCCUAAACUUCUACCGUUAACUAGACAAAUAUGCAUGAAAUGUCGCUUACACGUCGGCAAUGAACAUGACAAUCGAGUGUCAUCAAAUAACCCCACACUUAAACUUUGCUUGUUCUCAAGCCAAAGGCUGAUAAAAGCCAUGGAACACAUCUACAAUCAAAUCAACUACUAACAACGCAAAGAAAAUCCAUAACCCUGAAUACAUUCCUAAAUUUCUUAAUAAACAAAUGAACCGUUAAACAAACUCAAAUAGGACGUAAAGGCCUCACAAGAAGUUCUCCAACUUGCCACACAUCAUCAAACACGUUACACCAACCAUCUAGACUUACUGUCGAGGGAAAUUCGGCUUAAAGAUGAAGCCAAUAAUGAACUCACACAUAGUGUUUUAAGGAAAGUGUUUAUGCACUCAUCAUCAACACUUGCAUAUCAACCUACUCCUACUCAUCACAUCAAGGCACUUCAAGCAUUAAUGUGGACAGAAAAGAGAAGAAAAGGUGAAGUGACUUUUGGUGGUGGGUGUACUUAGCAGCGAACGACUCGGUCUACUCUAAUAUGGAGUUAAGCUACUAAUCACAAACAAUGUUAUGCAAGGAUCUCAAAAUUCUAAGAGCUCAAACUAGCUUGUGUAUCCCUUAUGUACAAACAUAUACUUCGAGCAUUUGUGCUAGUUCAUUCAACUAGCUCGAGACCUUAUCGUCUUCUUUUGAUUUUUCUAUUUUUCUUCUAUCGAGACUCGGUUUUUUUACUUGUCUCCUUCUUCUUUUCGAGAUUUUCAAAAUGUGUAUCUAUUUCUCAUUUUUUCGAGAUUCUAUAUAUACAUCAAACUGAACAAGGGAGACUAUAUAAUUCUGCAUUCUUCAAACUUAGCAACUCUUACUCCUAGACCGACCGAGUUACAUGCUACUAAUGUACACAUGAUAAAAUGAAGGCUUGAACGAAAGGGGAUACAAUAUUAUGGGGGGUUAUGAAAAAAGCUUUUUGGUUAUGAUAGGGUUACCCAGGCGAAAAAAAUAUAAGGACGAGAUGGAUAUUUUUUGGUGGAGCUUUUCCAAGUGCCUCUAUCAUUUUAGGGCAUUAGUGAUAAGCGAAUUCUGAGCGGUAUAGGAUUAACAACAAAUAGAGAAGACCACUCAAAAUAUUUUAAGAACAAAUCUACUAAUGAAGCAGAUUAUCUAUACUACAAAAUGGUCUUUGAAGCCUCAUAAUAUUUUGUUAGAUGGUAAUUUGGUAACAUGCAUGUCUGGUCACAUCAAGUUAGAGAGUCCGUGCUACUUUAAACACAUAGAAAGUAACUCUAAAGAAUGAAUCAAUAGACUUUGUUCAUUGGCGAAUACUCUUAUCAAAUCUAGGUUCACAAGUAAAUCACCAAUUCAAGUGCACAAAUCACAUGGAAAUUUUCUAUGCAUGCCAAGCAAUUAAUUUAAAGAUAGCUCCAACAAGCUUCAGUUUAGAACUCUCAUGUAAGACAACUACCCAACAAGACUAGCUUACAAAAAUCCUAUUAAAACUCACCCUAAACGUAGUUUGGAUAGUGUCCUCACUAAAUGAAACGAAAAGUUGCAUAGGAUAAUCUAGAUGGUGAUAGAAAUCCUAAAAAUACUCGAUACACGAUCAUGAAGUUCAUACUCGGCGGCGAACUAACUCCUGAAAAACACUCAAAAUCACACAAAACCAAAAUAAAGGUAAAAAGGGACUAGGAAAAGUGUCCAAGUCCCACAGAUAAUAAAAGUGGGUACACUAUCCAAAAAGAAAGAAAUAAAAAUACAAAGACAUAACGAUGAUACUCGAGCAGUAGUCGUCUGAUCGAGGCGAGUGUGGUGGGCUCGAAUAUUCGGUCUGAUGCUGAGUGAGGUAGUGCAGGUAGUAUAGCUGCUCAUCAUGGUGCUCCUGCUCCACUCUCCUCUGCUCGAUUUGUGAAGCCCGAUGUCCAAAUUCAAACAACGUAUGCCAUGCUAUCAGUGGAUGUUUCCAUGGAAGACUCCCCUCCCCAAAGUUGAUCUACUAGUGCGGGACUGACCUCAUCAUGUCAGCAAACUCUGUCGGUGGUGGGUGGUAUCCAUGUGGUGGUGGCUAAGGUGGUGGGAAUCCAGCACUCAUCGGAGAAAACUAACGGACUGGGUUACCUUGUGCAAUAUCUAGCUCCUACUGAUGUGGAUAGUGGGAAGCCUCCUCCUCUCCUCCUGUCUAAUAUUGUGCUUGGGCUUGAAGUCAAGGGUGCCUCCUACCUCUCCCUUGGGUGGGGGUAUGCGGAGUGGGCUCUGCUGGCUCCCGAAUAAAGUGUCUGCAAGGCAAGGAAAAUCCACCAACUUUUAUACCCAGAAAAUACCGAGAAAAAUUCAUCAUUCGAUGACCUAAUCAUGCAAUUUCAAAGCUAGAAUCCUAGCAUACCCAAUUUGAAAAAUUAGGGUUCUUCAACCUAAUCAUCAAUCUCACGAAUCUGACCAAUUCGGGGCAAAGUAAACGAAGAUAAAGCUAGGCAUAGACACAUAGGGGUAGUACGUUGUAUUCACCAUAAUUGGAGGAGACCUAAAGAGUACCAACAAGCAAUAUCGGAGGUUUGGAUGAAACCGGAAAAAAGCACCAAACAAGCUCUAAACACACUCAGAAUGGAUGUAAAUCCACGAGGUAGUGUUAGGAGGCGGUCGCCGGCGGCCGGCAAAGGCUCGUCGGCAACGGGAGACGGUGGGUGCGGCGGGCGGCGAGUGAAGGGUUUGGUUUUGUGUCUUUCGGCAGUAGCUUUGAGAAGUUUGGGAAGAAAAUCUUGAAAAUCGCACAGAAGGGGUGAGAUAUUGCAAUACACGUGUCAACAUUGGUGCUAUAAUGUAAUGUUUAAGUUGGCACUAUGGUCCUACCGCCAAAUAAAACGUUUCAUAGCGCCAAAGUUGACAUGAAUUUCCAGAGAUCAUGGUCACUAUUGGCGCUAUAGAUGGUUUAAGUUGGCGCUAUGGUCAUAUCACCAAUUUAAACCGAGAUCAAUAGCGCCAAUAUUGACACUGCAACAUAUUUUUUUUUUGACAAUUCAAAAAAACUCAAUCCACUUAGCACCAAUAAUUUGGGGCAUGCAAUGGACUCUUGUAUCACGUUCUAGACUCGAUCUAAUAUCUAAACAUGCAAUUUGACGCAAAGAAAAUGAAAACGAACGACUCCAAGCAUGGUUGCCUCCCAUGAAGUGCUCUUUCUUUAAAGUCUUUGAGCUAGACGAUACCUGACCUUUCAUUGAACAUCCUCGAAUUAAUGAACUUUGACUGCAUCGAUAGUCUUUGCACCAAGAUAGCGCUUGAGACUGUGGCUGUUGACCUUGAAUGUCCCUUGAACUGGAUGUGCCAUCUCCAUAGUCUCGUAGGGGAAAGAUUGUGUGACUUCAUAAGGUCUUGACCAUCUUGAUUGCAAUUUUCCCAGAGAGAAAUAGUCUGAGGCGGGAGUUAUAAAGCAACACUUUUGUCUCCCUUUCGAACUCUUUGACACUUUGCACCUUUGCAUUGUGGAUGCAUUUCAUCUUCUCCUUGUACUCCUCUAGCUCAAAGAGCUAAUAUUUCCUUUAGGAAACUAUGAGACUAGAUCCAUGUUUAGUAACUUCAUGGCCCACCAUGCCUUAUGCUCAAGCUCCACCGAUAAAUGGCAAUCCUUGCCAUAAACUAGUCAAUACCAAAAAGUGCCGAUGGGGGUCUUGAAUGAGGUUUGAUAAGCCCAAAGAGCUUUAUCAAGCUGAAUCCACCAAUCCUUGUGAGACUGAUCGACUAUCCAUUCAAGAAUCUGAUUGAGUUCAUGAUUCGUCACUUUCGCUUGACCGCUUGCCUGUGGAUGGUAACCGGUGGUCAAUUGAUUAGUUACGCCAAAUUUUUGGCAAACUGGAUCGAAUUGACCCUGAAAGUUUGUACCCCUGUCACUUAUGAUAGAGCGAGGGUGUCGAAACGCAUGAAAAGGUGGGUGAUGACUUUCCCACAAUCCUAGCAUCGUUAGUAGGCAGUGUUUGUGCCUUUGCCCACUUUGAAACAUAAUCCACAGCAAAAAGAAUGUACUUAUACCAUGGAACUGUUGGAAAUGACCCAUAAAAUCAAUUCCCCACACAUAAAAAAUCUCUAUGGCAUGGAUAUUAUCAUUGGCAUUUCAUUCCUACUUGACAUGUUACCUGAACGUUGGCAUGUAUCACAGUUCUUCACGAAAUGUCAAUAAUCCUUCCAAAUUGUCCUCCAAUAGAAACCUGGAUAAAAAAUCUUCCGAGCGGGUCGGUUGACACAGUGAUGUCCUCCCAAAGGGACUGAUGUGGCAAUAGAGCAUGAUUUUGAGUGAUUCAUGCGCAAUGACACAUCUUCUGAUAACUCCAUCGGACCCCGAAGAGAUAGGGAUCAUUCCAGAUGUAAUGUUUGGUGUCAAAAAUCAGUUUCAUCUGCUGCUGAUCAGUGUAAUCCUCUGGAUAUAUCCUGGCAGGGAGGAAGUUAGCUAUCUCGGCAUACCAUGGGCGUUUGUCGGGGUGAUGCUCUGAGACUUCCUCUGCUUCUUCUAAGAGGAACAACUGUUCAUCUGGGAAGUGCUCAUUAAUUUUUGCUUCAGCAAAUCGACCUGGAAGAGGGCGUUGAUGGCAUGACAUAUGGUCUGCUGCAACGUUUUAUGCUCCUACCUUGUCCUUGAUAGAUAUGUCAAACUCUUGAAGGAGUAAGACCCAUCGAAUUAAUCUUGAUUUUGCAUCCUGUUUAGCUAGAAGAUACUUAAGAGCAUAAUGGUCAGUGAAAACCAUAAUAUGGGACAACACUAGAUAAGACCUGAACUUGUCAAAAGCGAAGACAAUCACCAAGAGCUCCUUCUCUGUAGUUGGGUAGGUCCUCUGCGCAUCAUUAAGCAUCUUGCUAGCGAAGUAGAUUGGAUGAAACCUCUUCUUUCACUGUUGUCCUAACACUGCUCCAACAGCAAAAUCACUAGCAUGACACAUCAGUUCAAAAGGGGCUUCCCAAUCCAGGGAGACAAGUAUCGGUACAGUUGUUAGCUUCUUCUUGAGGGAUUCAAAUUCCUGCAAACAUUUAUCAUAGAAUGAAAAUGGCACAUCUUUCUCUAACAACCUAGUCAUUGGCAAUGCAAUUUUAGAGGAAUCCUUAAUGAAUGAACGAUUGAAACCUGCAUGUCCUAAGAGGCUACGCAUAGUUUUAACAUUCAUAGGGGGAGGAAGUUGAGAGAUGGUUUCGAGCAUAGCUCGAUCCACCUAAAUACCUCGUUUGGCGACCCUAUGGCCUAGCACGAUCACCUUCUCCACCAUAAAGUUGAACUUCUACCAAUUUAGUGCUAAGUUGGUCUCCUCAUACCUUGCAAGCACCUUCUCCAAAUUUUCUAGACAUCUAGAGAACGAAUCUCCAUAAACAGAGAAGUCAUCAAUGGCGACUUUGACAACAUCUUCUAGUAAAUGCCCAAAAAUUUGCUUCAUACAGCCUUGAAACGUCGCAGGUGCAUUGGACAGACCGAAAGGGGUGUGCUAAUAUGUGAAUGUGCCGAAGGGGCAUGUGAAUGUCAUUUUAUCUUGGUCUUCUGGCUGAUUGGGAUCUAGAAGUAGCCAGACAUUCCAUCUAGGAAGCUGUAAAACUCAUGACCGUCAAGGCGCUCCACCAUCUGAUCAAUUAAAGGCAUGGGAAAGUGAACUUUCUUCGUACCAUCAUUGAGGCGCCUGUAAUCAAUACACAUUCUCCAUCCGGUUACUGCCCGAGUAGGGAUGAGCUCUCCCUUGUUGUUAGGCACAGGCGUGAAUCCACCCUUCUUUGGCAGAACCUGCGUAAGACUAACCCAGGGACUGUCAGAAAUUGGAUAAAUGAUACCUGCAUCUAGGAAUUUGAGUGACUCCUUUUUUCAUAACUUUCUUCAUAGCUGGGUUCAGACAGCGUUGUUGUUGUGCUACUGGUUUAACAUCAGCUUCCAAGUUGAUAUUUUUGGUGCAUAAUGAGGGACCGAUUCCCUUAAUAUCUGCAAGCUUCCACGCUAUGGUUUGUUCAUACUUCUUCAAGAGAGGUUGAAGUUCCUCCUUCUGUUGAAGUUAAAGCUUUGAGUUGAUCAUGACUAGUAAUUUCAAACCCUCUCUGAGAAUUGCAUACUCAAGAUGGUCUGGAAGCAGCUUCAGCUCCAACUCCAGUGGCUCUUCAUAUGAUGUAGUUAUCUUGGGGAUGUUUGGAAGUUCCAUCAUCGGUGGCGCACCGGAGUAGGUCUCGAGCUGUUCAAGGGCUUUUGCUUGUGCCCUCUGCUCAAUGUCAUUCAUCCAGUCUCCACAAACACCUGUGAUAGUACAGACAUCUCCAACAAGCAUAUGAGAUAAUUCAAACAUUUCAAAGGCAUCUUGAUAGUUUUCAGAAAUAUCAUCAUCAUCAUUCUAAGCCUUAGAAUAUGAGACUUCUUUCUAACGAAAUGUGACCUUAUCUUGUCCUACUUUCAAUGUUAAACACCCUUUGCAAACAUUAAUCACAGCUUUAACAGUAGCUAGGAUAGGACGUCCUAACAAAAUAUUGCAGUAAUCUUCAUGGGUAUCUAGCACAACAAAAUUAGUAGGAAAUUCAAAAGGUCCUACACAAAUAGGCACAUCUUCUAUGACUACCCUAGGUUUCACCAUAGAUCUAUUAGCAAGUUGAAAGAUCAUCUUAGUCGGUCUAAGUUCACCUUAGUUUAGUUUCUAAACAAAUAUGUUGCAUCACAUUUAUACUAGCACCUAGAUCAGCAAGACUUCUAUCAACUUUAAUAUUCUUAAUAGGGCAAGGUAAAGUAAAGCACCCUAGGUCUUUUCGCUUUGUCGGACCAACUUGGAUAGCUGCACCUUCUUCAUAUAUGGAGACCUCUGUUUCAUCAUCGAGAUUUAUCUUCUUGUUUAGCACAUCGUUCAAGAACUUGGCAUUCGAUUGCCAAGACGAAGCUUCCUCUCAACUAGAGGAACUAUUGUGAUGAGCACAAUGCCUGGAGAAACAAACUCAAAGCAAUUGUGUUUAACCAACAAAUCAUCCCACGCUUAUCUUUUGCUUAAAACAAUGUGCAUCAAUUUGUAGCAAAAGAUAAGAAUGGGUUAAGCAACCAUUAGUGAACAACCCUCAUAAAUACGCAAUCAACAGCAAAAAUCAAGUUUAACAUAUUCAAGGAAUUCCAAAUGAAGCAUAAGGCACUAAGAAACAAUCCAAAAGUCAUACAAGCAAUGCAAGGCAAGGAAAAUUCCACCAACUUUCGUACCCGGAAAAUACACCAAAAAUACCGAGAAAAAUUCAUCAUUUCUACAUGCAAUUUCAAAGCUAGAAUCCUAGCAUACCCAAUUUCAAUCUAGCACCAUCAAUUUUACAAAACCCCAUACUCGAAAAAUUAGGGUUCUUCAACCUAAUUAUCAAUCUCACUAAUCUGACCCAUUCGGGGCAAAGUAAACGAUGAAAAGGUAGGCAUAUACACAUAGGGGUAGUACGUUGAUCUCAUAGUUGGAAUCAUCGUGCUCAGAAAGAACCGCACUCGAUGUGGAGUUUGUAGCACUAGGCUUGGUGUAAUCGGCAACGGUUGUUACUGCUAUCAGUGCUUCGGUAAACCUGGACGUGUAACUAUGGUCUGUGUCAGAAUAAUCCGAACCCCAAUAGUCUUCGAGCAUAGAUUCUUUUUCACUUCCAAAUAGAGCCUUAAGAGAUUCAACAAUCUAUCCUACUUCUAUUGAUGAGCACGAGUCUUGAUGAGAGCUUUGACAUGAUUUUGAUCGUGUCACUACUAAUGACAUGCAAUCAGUUCUUUCCUGCGCAAAGAAAAACAAUAAACACAUUAAAAAGUAACUAUGAAAGAAAAAAAUUUAAGUGGAAAUGAAGAUUAAUACUAAUCGAACUACUUUCAGAUACUAGAAAGAAGUCCCCCGGCAACGGCGCCAAUUUGAUUAACGGUUUUGAAGUCAAUAUUCGAAAAAUUCAAAGCCAUGUCCGAGAAUCAAAGCCGGGAGAAGAUCAAGUUUUAUACUCUUAUAGAGGAACAUAAUAUACUUAAUGAUAAACCUAGUUAAUAAAUUAACUAGAGACGAAUCUCCCUAGGGUCUCUUUUAGUAUCUUACUCAAAGUUAUAAAAAGUAUCAAUCGAAGUAUCAAUGAAUGUGGUUUAGGUGCUAUGAGGAUCAAUCAAGUAAUCAAAGUGAAAAUGACAAUUUUCUUUAAGGUACAUGGCUGCAAGACUGCACGAUUAUAGGUUUAGGCUUGAAAUCCCCCUAGUGAUGUGAUGUAUUUUCGACACACCUUUUCUCGUUAUAAACUAUAUUUUUGUGUGUCGAAAUGUAUUCAAAUUCGGGUUUUGAGUACAUGUUUGGUUCUCUUGCCCCUCGGGGCCAUAUUAUGGUGUUUGGUAUGUUUUUGGUACAUUUCAUAUGUCAUAUGACGUUUAGAGAUAAAUCAAGACAUGACGGGGAGGCCGGAACAACUCAAAGCGUUCGACUUGGGAAGAAAGCGUCACUAUUUAGUAUUUUGAGCAUAACUCAUCGCUCCAAAGUCCAAUUGAUGCAAGGUCAGCAGUGUUGGAAAGAUAAUUCGAUUGUCUACAACUUUUCUGUUGACACUAUGGUCAAAUUCCGUAUAAUCAGGGAAAAAAGCGUGUUCGAAAUGGAGCACGGCGUGUUCCAUAUGGAGCACGCCGUAUCCCACCCCCAGACGGGUUUUCAAGUCCUUUUCCUUUUCCAACUUGGUCCAGAAGCCUAUAAAUACCCCUGAGACCCCUGUGGACGAGAUAUACUUCAUUAUACACAUAUUUUUCGAGCUCUUGGAGAGAGCGAGAGUUCCAGAGAGACGAUUGAAGCGAGAGGAUCAACCACGACUGGCGAAGGGCAAAUCAUCAAGUCGAAAAUUGGGAUUUCCAUGAAGAACAUGUCGUCUUCUCUGGUUUUCUUCUCUUCUCUUGUGAUUUAUUUUCCGGAACGUUAGCUCGAGAGAGGAGUGAAUCAUUUAGGCUUUUUGCACGUUUAUCGUUGUGGCAUUAUAACCUGAAUAAUCGAGAUAACUUGUCAGUCAUCCAUGGAUUGCUAGCUUUAGUGGAUUUUAAUCCGAGCAACCUUCAUCUUAUCUUUGAAACUCGAUUCCUUGCAUUUUGAUUUGUUUUAUUUCAGUCAUUAGUUCGUAAUUGGAUAUCGAAACAAUCAAACAAACAAUCAUUACACUGUCACUUGGUCUAGUUAGAAAAUCUACUUGAGUAAUAGAAGAAGAAAGACCCUAGGGAAAUAAAUGAUUCCAUUAGAGCAAUCUAGUGGGUAUUUGAUAGCGGGGUAAAACCCGCUCAUCACCUAGGCAAUUCAAAUUUACAAAUGACAUACAAAUUCCAUGAUUUAAACGAAAGAAGAUAAAUUCAAUUCACCGUUGCAGUUCUUCUCUAAUCAGAUCAUGUCCUUUUGGGUCCGCUAAUCUGCUACUUAUCUACUAUCCCAGUAAGCUCUUUCAAGAUAAAGAUCCUAAAUUCACUAGGCGAAAAAACGAACAAGAACAGCUCAGCCGACAGACUAGUUUAUUCGCUCUUGGAUGAUGGUUAACGCCUAACCUAGUUGGGUUUUAUAAUCUAAGCACGAGAAGUUUAGCUGCUCAUAAUCUCGAGAGACAAAUCAAAAUCAGAAAUGGAAGACAUUGAAUCUAGGUUUACACAAAGAAUUAUGAAAAACCUAACUUCGCUUCCCGAGAGCUUCAUUCACCGUCUUGAUUACUUCGUCGAUUCCGAGGUCCUUGAAGUUUCUUCUAAGUCGCUCUUAAAUCUCUCAAUAAAGCUCUCAAUUUCAUGCAAGGAAGUUUGUCUUCGAAUGAGGGAGAAUUGGGCUUUAAAUAAGAUUUCAUAAAAAUCCUUUUAAUCCGGGAAUGUCAACAUUGGCGCUAUAGUGCAAUGUUUAAGUUGGCGCUAAGGGUAUAGUGCCAAAUUAAACAUUUCACAGCGCCAAAAUUGACAUGAGUUUCCAGAGAGGAUGGUGAGAAUUGGUGCUAUAUAAAUGUUUAAUUUGGCGUUAUGUCAUAGCGUCACUAUUGACCAUGCAUAGCGCCAAUAUUGACAACGUGCAGCCCCUUAGAGAUUUCUUCCCGAUUCAAUCAUCCUAGCUCGUUCAUGCAUGCUUGUAUUGCACUGAUUAGUGCCUCGACAUUGUCAUGUACCUGAAAUCAUACAAAAACACUCCAAAGUGACAUUGAAGGGAUCCCGAACGGGUCCGAGACACUAAAUCGAGAUAGAUGUUAGAAAUGCCUGAACCAUCCUAAACUUCUACCUAAAACUAUACAAAUAUGUUGGAGAUUUCACUCAACAAUGGGUAUCAGAAAGGUGGUUGCUUUCUUAGAAACAAAACCUUGUUGACAAAACACAAAAUCGUUUGUGUUCCCAGGAAGUGGGGGAGUCACAAGUACUACUUAAAUCCCUACAACCUUAGGAAUCAUUUCUUUAGAAUACCCAAGUUGAGAACUUCAUGCAUAACAAUAUUCCAGAAAACUUAGGGGGCUCUUGGAUCGUGACGAAAUCAUGGAUAGCACUUUCCGAAAAGAGUAGUUCGACCCUUAUAAGCUCGUUUACACGAAAUCUCUCCCGAGGAUAAGACCAUCAGCACUCUUAUUCUUAGGCUCAAGAGAUAAGAAUAAAACCUUGAGAACCUUUGGAGAAAGAUUACUCCAACACUUUUAUGACCAAAGUGCCUUCAUGUGGUGUAUGGAGAAUGCAUAUAGCAUUGGUGUCCUCUUUCUCAAAGCCACUCCACCCUUGUUUAUACUAGGGUGGUCGUCCAUAUUGAUCCCUUCAUGAAAUAUAUGAUUGUGGUAGAGCGGUCAUUGAACAUUACUACCCCAAACAACACAAUGCUACAAUAGAAGAGGGGCUAAAGAAGAAACCAGUCAACGAACUCAAAAGAAAUAGGUCAUCAAUAUCAAGAAGAUUUACAAAACAAAGAUGAGCACCAACAACAGAACAAACCAACAGAAAGCCUCUUCCAAGAAACAAGUUUCAACACUUCCAAACUAUACUCGAAAUAUCGAGACAAAGCUUUAACAAGGAGUGUUAAAAAAUGAAGCUACAUCUCUCUAUUUUGAGAGAUAAGAAGCCACUAAUGAAGUCAGAUAAUGCAUCCAACAAGCAACCAACAAAUAAUAUCCAAGCGAACAAUAGUAAUUACCAUUAGCCUCCAAAGUCAGUUAUGACAAGAUAACUAAAUAAAUAUAUAUUGUUUACUUAAGUAUGUGUAGAGGCUAUAUAAAAACUUACCUUCAUAUGUAUCAUCAAGAAAGAAAAAACAAGAUCAAAACAAAAAAAGGAAUACAAAGCUUCGGCUAAGAAACAGAAUUAGAGAAGUUAAAUUUCUUUCUCUACAACUUCUUUGCCCAACUUACAUUCCAGCCCAAAACUUUCUACUUCCUACAAAUUAAUCGCUGAAACAUUUUAUUCUUACAAAUUAAUCACCAUAUUAUUUUAACAAUCAUAUAUUAUAUCAAACGAAAUACUAUCUGCAAAGCAAUCUAAAGACCAACUCCUCCCAACAUACAAUAUCCUUUUAAGCUUAAAGACAUAGACUAACAUAAUCUUCAGUGACUUAAAGAAACCUACCAAAACUAUUAAAUCUCAUCAACAUCACACCAAAAUACUCCUACCAAAGCCCUGCCUGUUGGUCAAACUGCCCGCCUCCUCCAAACUCAACCGAAUACUAAUUCCUCAAGAAUUCCUCAAGAAUGAGUGAGGUCAUAUCUAUUUUGAGGCACAAACAUAGCAGACUUGGGGAAGUAAGAAAAGACACAUAGAUUUGGCCCAAUCUGGAGUUUUGGAUCUCUCUUGUUGUGCAAGAAUCGAUGAUGAGAGAGUCAAAGUCCUUUGGAUUAACCAAAAACAUUUGGAAAUCCAUGAGAUCAUUACAGGUAAUGGCUUGCAUGACGAUUGUGAGUUCAAAUCUAUCCAUUAGUCGAACCAUGAUGAUAAAUUAAUGACAAUGAUAAUGGCAUGGCACCAACACUUUCCUACCCUGGAUUAAAUUUGGAUACAUUAGUAUAGCUUGUUGCCCUUUCCAAUGAUGGCUUUGGUCUCAUAAUGGCAUCCGAAAUGGAUUGCCUAUCAGUUGUGAUUAUAUGGUUGUCUGGGACUGUAAAGUAAACCCAAAAAUAAUAGAUAAGGUUAGUGUUCUCUGAAUCCUUAACCUAGAGUUCUAGUUUAAGGUCGGCUCAAACUCAACUCAUAUUUCACCAAACUAUUUUAUAUUGUAGAUAUCACAUUUGCAGAAUUUGGUACUAAGAGAACCCAUUCUAAACUUUUUCAAUUUUGGUCGAGUUCGAAGAUCAUUAGUGCAAUGGCUUAACAAUUGUCAGUUCCAAUUUAUCGGGUAAUAAAUGAAUAUAAGCAUGAUGAUCAAUGGUACCAAGACCCAAUCUUGGAUUAAAAUUCAUUCCUAUAAAAAAGUGUUAUUGUUUCAUAUUUUCCAAUUCUGCAUCUGCAUAUGAAAAGGAACAUCGAGGCAAAAAUUCAGUACAUCAUUGAGAAUGCGGAAAUGGCUGAGGCUUUUAUCCACGGGAUGUGGGAUAAAGUGUUGUAUGCAUAUUUGAAUGCAGAGUUCUAUGCAGAGUGGGAGCAUAUGAACAACAGUGAUUGAGCUAAAAUCAAGGUUUGAUGGAGUACUUGACAAGUGAGUGGGUACCACAUAAUACUCAGUGGGCCUAAAACAACAAGGUUUUCCAUAUUGGGUGUAGAAGUACCAAUAGGAUGGAGUCCCAACACUUGUUGCUGAAAUUAUGACACACUAUUUAAGGCAUACCAUUCUUCCAUCGAGGGCCAAGUCACAUAGGUGCAAAGGGCUCUAGAGGAAUCACGUUCUAAGGUAUUUUGUUUGUUUGAAUAACGUGUUAUGUGUCACUAUUAUAACUUGUUAUUUAAUCAUGUUUUCAUAACUAGUUAUCUGUUCAUGUGUAAGUAACUAAUUAUGUUGUGAUUGUUUUGGUACCGAGGUUCAUCGUUUUACUCACAUACAACCAUUUACGUAUAUGAAAAAUCAAGUUAACCUAUGGGGGAUUAAGUUGGUGAAUGAGGAGCUAUCCAUGACGGACCGUUACACUGGGUGAUUGAAGAUAUACAUGAAAUCCCGUGUACAUGUAGGCUUGAAUAUAUGGAAGAAUGCGAGGAUGAGUUGAAACCAUACCACCUCCAUCACUUUUGGCAAUCAUUGGAGUAUACGAACCCUGAGCGGGAUAGUACAAACAAUUUCUGAUUGGGGGGCCUUACGUACGGGCAUUGAUUAAAUUGGUGCAGUCACAGUUUCAACCUGAAUCGGAGGGUGUGAAAGAGCCUAAGGCUUAUGCGGCUCCAAAGGGCAGGCCGCAUGCAAGAAAGACAGAAUGGCGAAACCCUUCUUCGCAUGAGCACACGAGUGCUCAUUGUACCCCGACCAAGGGUAAACCCAAGUCAGGUUCGCACUAUUUUACAAUGCAUCACUAUCUUCAUGUGAUCGGUUAUGGACACACUUUAUCACUUAACAGGUGGUUCAACUCCUGCGCAGAGUACACCCACACCAAGCAUGUCGAGAUCAAGUCGAGCAAGGCCAUUUUUGCGUAGAGGUGUGUAUUGCAAUCAAAUCACUAUCUGACGAGUGGAUUUUACCCCGCCCUUCCAAAAUCCACUAGAUUGCUCUAAUGGAAUCGUAUUUUCCCUAGGGUCUUUCUAACGCUAUUACUCAAUUCAAAUAAGCUAACUAGACCAAGUAAGAGAGAAUGUUUGUUUGUUUUAGAGAUUGUGUAGCCAAUUAUCAACUAAAAGGAACUAAAUACGCACCUAACGCAAUGUAUUCAAACAUGUUAACGCAUCAAACAUCCAAAACUGUCAAUUAAAAAGGGAACAAAUGUGCUAAUAAUCAAGCACAUCAAAUCCUCUCACACUUAAAUGUUUGCUUUUCCUCAAGCAAAUUUACUAAUCACACUCUAUAAAGAACUCAAAAUGUGGUAAUAGGAAAAACAUAGCUUAGGGUCUCAAGUCUAUCAUGGUGUCAAUGAAUGCAAGUCAAUCAACAAACGACAUAAUUAGGCAUAUAAUACCAAAUCCCUUAGACUAGUAUAAGGUAGACUCAUGCAUAUAACACCAAAUACCUUAGACUAGUAUAAGAUAGACUCAUGCAUAUGAUACAAAUGACUCAACACCUAACCCCCAGAGUGUAUCCAUAUCCUCCCAAAUAUUUAUACCCUCAAAUUGUCAGCGGAAAUAACAGACCGACGACUCAUCCUGACCGAGAUUUCUCUUUUGUCCUCAGAGAUAAGGUGCUUCAAUUUCUUUCUAGGAUCAUAGCACUCAAGUAAUGCUAGCACAUUCCUCUUAUUUUGAGUUGCUUACUUGACUAUCUAGCACUAUAUACUACUAAUUACAAAGCUUACUUGCUGAAAUGUUGUUUCUUUUCUUUUCUUUCUUUAUGGCUUUUUAGAUAACACCUGUUUUCAAAUGAGAGAAAUAAUCACAAGCUUAAUCAGACUCGGAAAUGACCAGUCUUCGGCCACGCUACAAGCCUCAGAAAGGGUGGGGUGAUGGCGGACCUCUAGGGUCGCCCUACGUGUUUCAGUUGUAAUAAAAUCCCCACGCCAUUUUUUAAUUUUAGCAACCUCAUUCAGACUCCUUCCUGUCUGUUUUAUCAUCAUAAUGAUAGUAGUAAUAUUUAUAUAUAUUUUAUUGUAUGUUUUUAUAGUAAGAUUAGGCAUUUUCAAUUCGUAUUGUUUAUAUCUAAGGAAUAUCUGUGAAGAAUUAGAAAUAUGUAAUUUACGACAGCAACUUUUUGGGUAUUUUGGACGAAAAUAAUGAAAUUUACAUACCGAUGAAGAGUUGCGUCGAACGAUGCUAUGAUUCCAAAUAUACCUACUUUACAAUUAUUAAAAUAUAAUAAAAACAAGAAGCAAAAUUAUCACAUGCAUGCAUUGAUGCACGUUGAAGAAGGAAAUGAAAAAAUGGGUUCUGUAAAGGAUGGUUAGAAAUUGUACUUGGCUAUGAUGUAGCCACGGUACUCCUUCUGAUUGAUUAUUAGUUUCUUCUCUUUCUGAAUAUAAUUGCUUAGUGGGAGAAGGAAGAUGACAUCAAAGACAAAGAGACAAGUGUUGAUCUGUGAGGAGUAAAUGGGAUUUGAAGAACUUGUUGAGGACAGUUGAGAGAAUGGAAAUCCGGCUAUGAAAGGACUCGGUACAUUACAUACAGAAGGAAAACAACACAGAGCUGCGAAGGCAGCAGAACAUCAGCACCACCAAACAUAAUGUGUUAGUUUGUAGUUAGAUUUGUUUGUAUUUUUGUUGUACGGUUAAAGUAACGGUGUGACGAGAAGCGAAUCAGUAUUCAAUUCAUACACCAAUAUUUACGAUACAUAUUUGUAGGUUUUUGUUCGUAAUGUUUACUUUAAUUUUGUGUAUUAUUAUUAUUAUGUUCAUUAUGAACUAAUUCUAUUCUGGGGAAUUUGAUGGAUUAAGUUAAAUUAUUAUGUGUUAAAUAUUUUCGAUUUACUUUUCGUCUCCGAUUAUAUGUGUAUUGUUAUUUGUAAUGUUAUAAAUUGUUUGAUCACCAAUUUGUUGAAUCGUUGUCUUUAGUGAGUACUCAAAAGGGAAACCCUGAAAAUAGAACACUAGCACAUACUUAUAGUAGUCUAUUUGAAGCAGAAGUGAAUAUAGAAUAUUAUGCGAUCGUUAAAUGGAUAAUCAGAGUUAAGGCUAUUUAAUUAUUUAUUUUUGCUACGAAAGUAGGGAUAUAAAUUAUUAAGUAGUAUGUGGCUGCCCUUUGAACGGGUAGUCAUCCCAAUAGAGGUUAUUCAGUCAUAAAAUUAAGAGAUUAAAAAUAAUUAAUAAACAAAAUUUGGAGAUGCGACAACAAGUUAUUGAUCACGUUAUAGUCAACUGGCCCACCUGGUAUGAACACGUGCAUGACGGACCACUAAAAACCGUUCUAGCAAGGUUACGUUGGAUGAGCACAAACCCGUGUGAUCGUCCGUAGUGGUUAUGGAAUUUGGAACUUUCCGGAUUUGCCACUAAACACAAUUGGAAUUAUGUUGUUAUCGAUAACGGGGGAGGGUGGUCUCCUGUAUGGGGAGACAUUUAAUCCAUUCACAAUCCAAUGUGGGACACAUUCAUUGGGAGGUGUUACUUACCUAGUGUGUACUAGUAAUCAUUGGUUGUAGUUAUAUUGGCUACUGACGAUGGGGUGUUACCAAUUCGGUGGACUAAUUUGAUGUGGCAUUAUUAGGCCGAUGAGAAUGAAAAAGAAGCAUGGGAAAGCCCUCUGUACUGAUGACACUCGACUUUUUGGUUCAUCGUCCUCUUUUAGGCGACAUUUCAUGCAUAUUUGUAUAGUUUUGGGUAAAAGUUUAGUGCAUUUCUAACUUGUCUCUCGAGUUAGUGUCUCAGACCCGUUCAUGGUCUAUUUUACAUUGUUUCGUAGUGUUUUCAUCGAUUUCAGGCACACAGCCACAACGGGGCAUUUUUUGGAACUAUAUUAUGUGCAAGGAGGAGCUAAAUGCAUCAAAGAAUGGAAAAAUAAAAAUGUUCAGGCGUCAUACCAAAAGUUUCCCUAAGCCAUACCAAAACUGCGCGGCGCGCAUUUUGUUGAUUAUAGCGCACUUUUGGUCAUUUUUCGUCUUUCAGGCCUCUGACAUUUAGACUGAAAGUGCGCCUAAGAAAUACCAAAGGUGCGUGGCGCACUUUAGGUAUAUCUAUGGCGCACUUUUCGUAUCCGUCGAACGUAAGGAAGCGCCUCUAUAAAAGCACAAUUGGAUCCCAUUCUCAUACAGACUUUUUCGGACGAAAUCAAGAGCAUUAGUGAGAGAUUUCAGAGCGAUGAGAAGGCAACUUCACGGACUUUGGAAUCGGCAAAAGGAUUAAGACAGCGAAUCAAGUUCUUGGGAAGAUUGGCGAAAUUAGGUUCUUCAUAGUUUCUUGUGUAAACCUAGAUUCAAUGUUCUCUUCUUCUGAUUUUGAUUUUUCUUCUGAAAUCAUGAGCAGCUAAACUUAUCUUGCUUACAUUAUAUGAACCCUAGGUUAAUUCCUAUGAACAAAUGAUUUGAUAUGUUUGACGAUCUAUGUGAGUUGGAUGGAUUUCAUUGCAGAUUUAAUUUUGUUUUCGAUUUGUUUUUGCAUGAUCAACUUGAAUAAAUCUCUGUUAGAUUUGUCUUAUACUCGUGAGAGCUUGCAUUUCUAGAACGCCGAAAUCAAAUAAUUAGGUCAGACGUCAACCCUCAUCCUGAAGUGAAUGAACUAGUUUGUCGUGUGAGAAAUUCUAAAUCGGUAAAUCGCCUAGCGGGGUUUAGAUCUUGUGUCGAAAGAGCGAACUAGAAUACUAGAUAGGUAGCAAAUUAACGGUCCCGAAAGGGCAUGAUUUGAUUAGAGAAGAAUUGCGCCAGUGUAUUGCAUCUUUCUUAUUUCGUGUAAAUUGUGGAAUGUUUCUGUCAUUUGUGAAUUAGAAUUGCCAAGGGGCUUCGACGACUAAGCUGUUUCACCUUUUAUUGUCUAAACUGUUAUCGUGCAGUCUUGAAAACCAUUUACUUUUAAGCAUAUUUCAUUUCACUUUGGUUGAUUGAUUGAUCCUCCUAAACACAUUCAUUGAUACUUUGAUUGAUAUUAAUUACAACUUUGAGUAAGAUACUAAUAGAGACCCUAGGGAGAUUCGACUCCAGUUAAUUUUUUAGCCGGAUUAUUUUGAAAAUGCCUAAAAACGUUCUUCAAAUUGGCGUCAUUGCCGGGGGACUUCUUUCUAGUAUCAGAAAGUAGUUCGAUUAGUAUUAAUUUUCAUUCCCGCUUAAAAUUUUUUCUUUCACAGUUAUUGCUUAUGGUGUUUAUUGGUUUGCUUUGUGCAUGAGAGAAUUCAUUGCAUGUGACAAGUAGUGACACGAUCAAAAUCAGGUCAAAGUUCUCAUCAGACUCACACACAUCAAUAGAAGAAGGAGAGAUUUCUGAAUCUCUCAAGGCUCUGUUUGGAAGUGACGAAGAAUCUAGGCUCGAAGACUCUUGGGAUUCUUCUGACACAUAACACAUUUACACAUCCAGAUUUAUAGAACCAAUGGCAGCUGCAACAAUCGUUGCCGAUUACACCAAGCCUUGUGCUAUAAACUCCACAUUGAGUGUGGUUCCUCCUAAGAAAGAUGAUGCCAACUAUGAGAUCAAGGGGAAUCUCAUCUCCUUAAUUCAACAGAACUUGAAGUUUGAAGGAAGGACCGAUGAAAAUCUAUGUGAUCAGCUAGUGGAUUUUUGUGCUUAUUGUGAGACUGUCAGACAUCAAGGUUUGUUCGAAGAAGCAUUAAAGCUCAAGUUGUUCAACUGGUCUCUUCGACGAGCAGCAAGAAGGUGAUUGACUAGUCAACCCGAAGGCACAUUCAGAGAUUGAUACACUCUAACUCAAGCUUUUUAGAAGAGUACUAUCCACUAGCAAAGACUGCAGCUACUCGAGAGUCAAUCUCUCGAUUUCAUCAGAGAGAAGGAGAAAGCUUAUAUGCCUUGUGGAACAUAUUUCAAGAGCUAUUAUCUCAUUGUCCUCACCAUGGUUACACAUACAGUCAGGUGGCAGAUAUAUUCAACAGAUCCUUAGACCGAGCGACCUCAAUGUUAGUACACCAACUAGCAAAUGGAGAUAUAAUUGCUCUAACUCUCGAAGUUGCUUUGCAACAUUUUGCUUCAUGUGCUAUCAAGUCUAGAAAUUGGUAAAUAAAUACAAUUCAACCAGUACAUGUAGUAGCUUCUGAUAAUUCAGGUAAUAUUUCCUGGAGAGCUCAGGUUAAGGCUUUAGAAAAGAGGAUGGAUAAUUUGAAGGUUGAUAACCCCCCCUUCGACAUAUGUCUACACCUAUGCUUGGUGUGGUAUUUGUGAUAGCUAGGUUGAAUGUGAUAACUUCUACACCAACAAACCAAUGACCGUGGAAGAAGUAGAUUUUGUGCGAGAGGGUUAUCCUUUCAGCCAGCAAGGAUAUCAAGACUUUAGAGCAAAGAAUGUCGGAGGCUGACAACUCCAACAUGCAUAUCCUCGCUUUGAUUUCUACAAGCCUAGAGUAGAGGACUGGAAUGCAAGCACUCCUCAAGGAAAUUCAAGCAACCAAGGACCGCCAGGAUUUCCAGACAAGCCACCUCAACAUCCAAAACAAAAUUCGGCCACCACUAGAGGAUUUAAAGAUGACAUUAUCCAGAUGAUGAAGAUCAUGCAGGCGCAGUUGGAAAAUCAAAACAUUAUUUUGAAAGGUCAACAAGCAAUGAUUCAAAGGAUGAAAGGCAUCCUACCCAUCUUUAGGAGAGAAGGUCGAUCAGAAACCUUCUGGACAGCUCCCCUCAAACACUGAACAAAACCCCAACAACAAACAAAAAGGAAAAAACCCCAACAACAGACGAACCCAAUUUUCGUUCCGCCGACCGAAGGAUCUGCCUUCUGUCUAGCCGCAAUUUUCGCCAAUUUUGGAAUGUGUCUUACCUGAUCGGUCACUCUCCGGAUCAUUGUUUUCGUAUUCGGAUCUUCGCUUUCCCAUUGGAGUUUUGAAGUUCCAGUUUGACAGUGUUUGAGUUCGUUGAAGAUUGUUUGCGUUCGUUGAAGAUUGUUUGAGUUCGUCGAAGAUUGAACUUCCGUUCGUUGAAGAUUGUUGUGUUUGAGUUCGUUGAAGAUUGUUUGCGUUCGUUGAAGAUUGUUUGAGUUCGUCGAAGAUUGAACUUCUUAUAUACGGGUAUUGAUUUUACGGAAGGGAAAUUUCGUAAUUUACCAUAUCUAGGGGGUUAUCUAAUUUAAAUUUAGGGGGUCGUUUAGAGAUUGAUAAAAAAAACUUGUUAGUAAGAACAAGUCCUUAAACUUGAUUAAGUGUGAAGGAAAUAGGAUGAUUAGAUUGGUUCAGAUGGGAGUGCCGACAUUAUGCUUACUCUCGAGCUUUUAUUCAAUGCAGCUCUUGCGCGCUAUGUGAACCAACCUGGAAGCCUAACUCAUUAUCGAACUGAAUCCACCCUGGCUCAAAAUCGAUUCAUUUAGCUUUCAAGUUAGCUUGUUAAAGAUCAAGCAUAAUCUCCAACUAUUAUUUUUUGAGGUGAAUGUAGAGCUCCUCACAAGCUGUUCAAAUUUGCACACCACCGUUAAUGUCUCUCUCUUGUUUCCCUCCUACACCAAAUUCAGCGGGCCGAAGUUCUUAGCAGAUCCAAGCAACACAUGAGGUAAAUGAACUACUACGUUUAUGUUCCAAUCAAUCUGAUCCCAACCAGCAACUGGGCAAAUGAUAAAUAAACUCUUAGAUGGCAGUCUUCUAGAUUAUAAAACAUUUCAAAAUGAAUUCCUACAAAUACAGAUACAUAGAAUUGCCAAAAAUUAAUAAACGGUGAUACUAAGCAUGAUUCAGACGCUAACUGGUAUUAUUAACCUACUGGUUUGUAUGGCCGAGCGAUAUCACGCGACGUAAAAUUGAUGAUUGAUUAAACUGUGCACACCUGUAUUUGAGUAACUUCAUUAUAAUUUUUCUAUAAAAAUAAUAACUGUAUUAUAAUUAUGGAACAUAUAUAAAAAAAUAUAGGCACAUAUAGCUUCAUUGGAACUAUUGGCACAAAGUCUCCGCGUAGUUUAAGGGGCCAAAAUUGAAAAAUAUUAGAAAAGGGACUAAUUAAACUCCAGUUCGCAUGGACUGACAUUUGCAACACACUUCGAUUGAUGCAUUGCUUUGGAGAUGGCUUCCUUCCUUCUCUAAUAUAUAGGAGCCUACUUCUGUAUUGGCAUUAGUAUCAGUAGACUGUGGAUGGAGAAGCUGUCAAAUGUUAAGUAGUAAAAUGGAGCAUGAACAUGUUCAACAUAAAUAUGAUUAUACUGUGGAGAUAGAUGAGUCUUCAUAUUAAUAUAAAUUGCAAUUUGAAGAAGUUGAGUUAAUAAUGAGGAAGAUCAGUAAGUGAUAAAAUUAUUUAGUGAAACUGAUGUUUAAAGAGAGAGCUAGCUCCUCGACAUUCUUUGAUAACUAUAAAUACAUUGCUAACUAUAACUAUAAGCACAUUGUUUGUAUCUAACCUAGCAUAUAAAUUGGUUUGGAUAUAAGCUAAUUUUUAUCCAAGUUGAUUAACAACCAAAACAACAGUGGGAGUUUUGCAUUCAUUCUCCAUAUACAUGAUCCCUGGAAAAGCACUCAGAUAACGAUACUAUAUGGCACUAUGCAUCUAAUCAAUAAAAUGAACUGCGAAUUUGUGAGUGUGAUUUCGUCGAAAUCCAAUGUAAAGGUGAGCAAUUUCUAUUAGUAUAACUGAGGCUAUAUAGUAUCGUUCUCUGAGGCUAGAGGUUUAUCAUCUCUACAACUAUAUAUGCAAAUAUUUCAAAAUUAAAUUGCCAUGUAAGCCUUUUCUUCACUCUCAGUCACUCUUUAGGAGUCUGUCCUUUAAAAAAACCCUAAUUAAUGAUUCUCUUUCUGACGGUUUAACUCAUUUCCCUUUCCNNNNNNNNNNNNNNNNNNNNNNNNNNNNNNNNNNNNNNNNNNNNNNNNNNNNNNNNNNNNNNNNNNNNNNNNNNNNNNNNNNNNNNNNNNNNNNNNNNNNNNNNNNNNNNNNNNNNNNNNNNNNNNNNNNNNNNNNNNNNNNNNNNNNNNNNNNNNNNNGGUUACGAGUCAUUAUCUAUGUACCUAUUGAGAACCAUAAUCAGGUUGAAUUAGACAUAUUUAUCAAACCUAUGUACAUACCAUAAACAUGUUUCUGCUUUCAAUAUUCUUUUAACGGACCAAUUAGUCAUUAAAUUUUGCGUAAUUCGGAAUGCUAAUAGGGUUGAGUUGGUUUGAAUUUUGCAUAUCAAUGGAACCUAAGCAUAACUCAUAACAAGACCAUUCUUUAAUAAUCUUUUAUGGCUCAAUUGAGGUUAAAUUUUUGUAAGUUAAUCGAGUUAGAGUCAUUAUCUGAUGACUAAUUUAGAACACUACUCAAGUUGAGUUGGUCUAAAUUAGACAUAUCCAUCAAACAUAACCUUGUAUAAUUACAUGAUCCUUCAUUCAAGAUUCUUUUAGUAGAGUCAAUUGAAGUUACAUUUUAUAAGUUAAUAAUGUUAUGAUUCAUUAUCUCUAGCCCAGCUGCAAAUCAUAACACUGGUACAGUAGAUCGCACACUAUGAUACAGUCCUAAAAACCCGUUCAAAGAUUCUUGUCAAUCGAAUUACAAUUCUACGCAAAAAGCAGAAAGGUAAUCCUAGAUGAGUCUGGUCCGACGCAGUCUCCCCAGAGCUCAAUCGCCUGAUCUGAUGACAUGUAGAGAUCAAUCAUAGGAUUGAAAUUCCCAAACCCCAAAUCCUAACCUAUCAGGACUUUUCAACGUAGGAUUCAAAACAAGUACUUGAGAAGGGAGGAAGAAGAUGGAUUACAUUCAAAACCUUCCUCUACAAUCUCUAAGCUUCUCGAACUGAUAUGAGAUCGAUCGACUUGGUCUUCCCAUCUUCCUGAAAUUGACCGAUGUGAUCCCUUGCGGUCAUGAUUGUGACGGAUGCUGACCACGACUAUAAUCUAUUUGAUGACCACGCCCAUGAAAAACUUGCAGUCACACCCGUGACAAUGUGUCCUACAACCGAUUCUCAUAAUUUAUAGAACUCGAACUAAAUCCAGAAUCAACCAUUAGCCCAAAAUCCAGGUGUCACAACUCUCGCCUCCUACAAAAGGUUUCGUCUCUAAACCUGAAUGUGAAAAUUAACACGAGAAAAGAAAUUCCCUACUAGGUAAUCCUCCAUGAGCUCCAGGAAGCGUUCCUGCAUGCUAGCCUUGAUCUCCGAUGUCGCAGCCUCGACAACCUGAUUUUGGCAAAUCACCUUUAGCAUAGGUGUUUCGUUGCUCCUCGGUUUGACGAAUUUUCUGUCUACAAUCCGAGCUGGUUGCUCCACAAAGGUCAGGUCCUUCUUGAAUUGAAUCUCAUCUGGCUAGAUCACUUGAUUCGGCUUGCCAAUGUAAGCCUCAAGCACACUCACAUGGAACACAUUAUGUAUCUUGUCCAACACAGCACAUAAGGCCAGCUCAUAAGCCAUGGGUCCUAUCUUUCGAAUGAUAUCAUAAGGGCCAAUUAACCGAGGAGAAAACUUCCCCUUCUUGCCAAACCGCAUCACUCCCUUCGAAGGACAUACUUGAUGGAGACUUUAUCCCCUUCCUUGAAGCUAAUCUCUCUAGCCUUCCUAUAUGCAUACUACUUUUUCCAAUUCUGAGCCACACCCAGCUCCUCGAGAGGCCGUCUCCUGAACCAUCUAAGGUCUAGUUAAUAACUUCUCUCACUUCCUAUCCAAGAACGGAGGGGUCCUACACUUCCUGCCAUAUAGAGCCUCGAAUGCAGCUACCCUGAUACUAUGGUGAAAGAAAUUAUUAUAAGCAAACUCCACCAUCGACAAAACCUUUAACAAAGGUUCAUCAAACUCCAUUACACACGAGCAAAGUAGCUCCUCCAUUAUCAGAAUGGUCCGCACGACACUUGAUUUGUCAAGUAGUGCAUUUCUAACUUCUAUCUCGAUUUAGUAUCUCGUACCCGCUCGGGGUCCAUUUGAUGUUGUUUCGUAGUGUUUUUUUUAUCAAUUUCAGGCACACAAUGACGUCAGGGCACUAUUCGGAACUAUAUGGCGUGCAAAUAGGAGCUGAAUACAUUAAAGAAUGAAUAAAUCACAAAGUUCAUGCGAUAUACUGUGUUUGGGGACACGCGGAUGGAUGAUUUAAGUAGCUUGGAGCGGAUGGUUGCUGAAAUUUAAGGGGAACACGACGUGUCCAUUGGGACACAACGUGUUCGGAAAUUAACCAACUAGGUUGGGCGUUAACCCUCAUCCAGAAGCAAAUAAAAAAGUCCGUCGUGUGAGCAAUUCUCGUUUGUUUUGUCGCCUAGUAGAUAUCAAAUCUUUGUCUCAAAAGAGCAGAUUGGGAUAGUAGAUAGGUAGCAUAUUAGCAUACCCAAAAGGGUGUGAUUUGAUCAGAGAAGAACUGCAACGGUGAAUUGAAGUUAUCUUGUUUCAUGUAAAUCAUUGAAUUUUUUGUCAUUUAUGAGUUUGAGUUACCUAGGGGGAUUCGAGGUCUAAGCAGUUUCAUCCUUGAUUGUCUACAACCUUAUAUCGUGCAGUCUUGCAACCAUUUACUUUAACAAUUUUUUUUUCUUUUGAUUGUUUGAUGGAUUCUCAUGGCACCUACACCACCAAACAUGCUUAAUACAUUAACACUUUUCAUAACUUUGAGUAGUCACGACAAAGAGACCCUAGGGAGAUUCGACUCGGUUAAUUCAUUAGCCGGUUUAUUUUGAUAAUGCAUAAAAUCGUUCAUCAUCCGCUCCAACUGACCAUUUGACUGUGGGUGAUAAGUUGUACAGAAAUCCAGCUUCGCCCCGAAGGCUGCAUGUCACCCCUUCCAAAAAUGGAAAGUGAAAACGGGGUCCCAAUCUGUUACAAUCGACUUGGGCACUCCUUGCAAUCUCACAAUGUGCUCCACAUACAAACCUUCCAACUCCACAUUCGGCUUAAACCGAAUGGGUAUGAAAUGUACCACAUUGGUCAACUGGUCUUUAUAACCCAAACUGCAUCUUUCUCAUUGACCAAGGGAAAACCACUGACGAAGUCCACCGUAAUAAAUCGAACAUCCACACCAGUAAAGGUAGCGAUGAAGCAACCAUCCUGUUGCCCGAUGGUCAAACUUAGCCUUUUGGCACACCAGGCAACUAGCCACAUGUUGAAUCACUGGUUCUUCAUGCUAGGCUACCAGUAGUGAGGAAAAAGUGUUCUGUAUAUCUUCAUCUCACCUAGGUGCAUGACAUAAGUGAACGAAUGCACCUCGUCCAAAAGGUCCUCCCUUAGCUUGGACCUAGGAGGUACAUACACCCUUUCUUGGAAGAGCAUCAUGCCAUCCUUCCAUGUGUAGGGUGUUGCCUUACCAGCUGACACCAGCUACUGAGCCUCCAAAAUUAACUUGUCUGAUGUGAGCCUCGGUAAUGUGAUCUAGCAGGAAGGGCCAUACUACCAAUCUCGCCAAUGACCCCCUGAUUGAGUCGACUUCCAACUCAGCAUCCAUUCUCCUCAUCUCGACCAAUUCGGUCAACCUCUCCUUCCUUCUUAAGGCAUAAGCCACUACAUUGACCUUCCUGGGUGAUACUCUAUCACAUAGUCAUAGUUCUUGAGCAACUCCACCCAACGUCUCUGCAUACAGUUCAACUCCUUUUGCUCCAUCAAGUACUUGAGACUCUUGUGAUCAGUCUUGAUCCUCAAAGUCUCACCAUACAAGUAGUGCCUCCACAGCUUUAGUGCAAAAACCAUUGCCGCUAGCUCCAAGUCAUGAACUGGAUCGUUUAACUCAUGCACCAUCAACUAGUGAGAUGCAAAACCCACCAAUCUGCCAUCCUGCAUCAAAACACAACCUAACCUCAAGUAUGAAGCAUCACUAUAUAUAACAUACUCCCCCCCCCCCCCCCCCCCAACAACUCGUACCAUGAGUUUUGGUGUUGUGGUGAGCCUCCUCUUCAGUUCCUUGAAGCUUUCACGACAGACCUUACUCGGAACAAAAUGUGUGUCCUUCCUGGCCAGCUUGUGGAGUUGUCCUGCUAUUUUAAACAAACCUUUCUACAAACUUCCUGUAGUACCCAUUCAUGCCUAAGAAACUCCUCACUUUAGUCACACUUCUAGGUGGUGACCAAUCCACUAUCACCUCUACCUUCAUUGUUUGUCUCUCCUCCUUUGAGGUGUUGGCAUUAGAUGUGUCCCACCUAACACUGCCUUCCUCUUCUUCUCCUCUUGCCAAGCUUGGCAUUCUCCUUUCAUCGCACCCUCAAGGAGUUCUAUCCUCAAGGCUGCUGCCUUGAUAUCUGCCAGGGUCACCAUUACACCAAUCUUAAUCUGAGCCAUCAACCCAUGGUAGAACAUCUACUUCAUGUGCACCAUCGUUUAUUCAGGUGAACCCUUGUACCACCUACUCAGCUUGAUAAAGGCGUUAUGGUAAUCCACCACCUUCAUAUCAUCCUGUCUGAGGUUAAUAAACUCAGCCCUCUUGUUCUUCUGCCACUGCUUUGGUGUAAACUCUUUCUUGAACAGAAUCAGGAACUCCUCCCAAUCUUGAUCCAAGAAGUUAUCCUCAACCUGUAGCUAAUUAUCCAACCACUCCUUCGAUGUACCCCUCAACAGGUAAGCAGCAUACUACACUCUAUUCUCCAGCGUAGGUCUUAGAUACCUAAACACGUUCGUCAGCUCUCGUAGCCAAUCCACUGCUAUCAGCGGAUCUGUGGACACUCCAUGAAAGGUAAUGACACCCAUACGAGUCAGCUCCUUGAAAUCAAAGCUCGGCAUAGGCGGAUCCCUGACCAUGUCGACCUAGGCCUCUUGAUUACUACACACACAAAUGUAAUAUUCAGGCUCCCUUUCAUUUAAGUUUAUCUCUGUUUUUUCUAGUAAACAUGAAAACAGUUUAAAACUCGACCACACACAUGGUGUACAUACCACUACCCCAUGGUGUAUCCUUGGUCACGUCUAUGGUGUAUAUCUUGCUACACCCGUAACUAGCAUCACCACGCAUGUGGUAUACAUGUGACCAUGCCCGUGAUUCUCUGCCCCAUCACGCACGUGACCUGCUAACUAACCAUGCAUGUGGUAAUCAUCAAGCCACGACCAUUACCAACAACUAGCCACGCCCGUGACGUACUUUCCGCCACGCCCGUGGCUCACACCCCAUUUCAAAAUUGCAAACAACAAAUAACUUACAGACUCCUAAACACAGAAGGACAUAUCACCAGGUCAUUAUGUAUUGUGCUCCCAUGAUCACUGAUCGCUUGGAGGUUCAUGACGCCCAUGUACCAGCAAACAUGGUCACGUAGUAGAGAAAAACUAGGCUAUGAUACCCGUUAUGAAACCCAACACUAAACGACCCAGUCGAACCACACGGUUCGACCCAUGCAUUCUUGUAUGUUAAAUUACUUCAUAAAUAACAUCAUAUACAUAAGAUAUAACCGCAUUAAAUGACCUCUCAUAAUAAGUAAAAACCGCGGAAAUGAAACAGAGCAUCUAAGGCUCGAAUCCAAUACUAAACAGGGGAAACCAAUAUCCAGAGGUAAGUUUGUCAAAUCAACUCAAACAUAGAAAAUGUCUGAAAACAUGAAAAUGUCUGAAAACAUGAAAAUGUCUAAAAACGUGAAAACAAUGAAAGGGAUAACCAAGGUCCUCCAAGAUACCUCUCACAGCCACUUGGUUGAGGCGUCGCUACUCUUGCUUCUUUCUUAGGCGGCAUUUUGGCUUGAAGUUCCAUGGUUCAUCAUAUACGUAGAAAAGAGACGGGGUCAGCGAUAAGCACUGAGUGACUAAGCCUGAACGCGAAGAACUGGGCUAGUAUCUAGUAAAGUAACCCUGUGGUCCUAUAGGUAUCAUCCUAACUUCAGCCACCCCUAGAUAUAAGCGGAUAACCUCAUGGUGAAUCAAAGCAAGAAACCAUCCUAAAAAUCCAUGAGAGGAACACUAAAGGUUAACUCAUCACGUCCUGUAUGAACCAUCCUAUAGUAAAUCACACGCUACUAUACAGUCCUUAUAGGAUUCCUGUCAAUCUAAUUUCAAUUCUACGCAUAAAGCAGAAAGGUAAUCUUAACCCCUAUCACUGAAAGCUUUCCCAAAUAAGUAUGGUCUGAAGCACUCUCCCUAGAGCUCAAUCGCCUAAUCUGAAUGACCUAUAGAGAUCAAUUGUAGGAUUGAAAUCCCCAAACCCCAAAUCCUAACUUGUGAGAAUUUUCCUACGUAGGAUUAAAAAAAAAGGAUUUGAGAAGGGAGGAAGCAGAUAGAUUACCUUCAAAACCUUCCUCUGCAGUCUCUAAGCCUCGCAUACUAAUCUAAGAUAGAUUGAUUUAGUCCUCCCCUCUUCCUGAAAUCGAUCACAGUCGUCAAAGAGGUUCUAAUAUUAGGUUUCUGUGAAUUCUGCGUUCUGAAGUUGCAAUUCUGUUUAUAUAAAAAAUCCACCACGCCCGUGGCCCACUUAUGGUCACGAUCUUGAUCCCAUGCUAGUCACGAUUGUGACUGAUGCUGACCACAACCAUUAUCUAUCUAAUGACCACGUCCGUGAUAGACUAGUAGUCACGCUAGUGAUGGUGUGUCCGACAAACAAUUCUCAGAAUUCAGUAAACUCGAACUAAACCCAGAAUCAACCGUUAGCCUAAAAUUGGGGUGCCACAGUUGGGCCCUAGCUUUUUAAGUCUUAAUAUCAUUAUGACUAGUAUUUCACAACACAUUAUAUACACCUUACUUCACGGAAGAGCGAGUUACUGGAUUUCGACAAACUUUUUUCCCAUCUGGGGGAAAAUCGUGAUCUCCAUUACUGAAGCUGGAGACACGGUGUUAUGGAAGGGUAUGUGGAUGCCAAGGUUCUGACACGCUUGCAAUAUGCGUUUAAUAAUAACCUAAUUACCAAAGUAACUAGGGUGGAAUUUCCCUAGGGUUUCAAUGUUGUGUCUACUCGAAGUUUUGAAGAGUGAUAAUAGGUUUAACAAGUAUUGUGGUUUAGGUGCGUACUCGCAGUUCUUCUUGAAUCCCGCCCUUUUGGGUAUGCUAAUCUGCUACUUAUUUACUAUCCGAGACCUCUCUUUCAAGACAAAGAGUAAAAUCUGCUAGGUGAUAAAACAAACAAGAACUGCUCACACAAUGGACUAGUCUAUUCACUCCCGGAGGAGGGUUAAUGUGACACCACAAUUUUGGUCAGCGGUUUAAAUUUCGGAUUGAUUAAAUUAAUUUAAAUAAUUCAAGGAAUUGACCCAGCAGUUGACCAAGUAUUAAAGGCUUGCAAGACUCGGAACAGGUAUCGGGUUGACUAAGUCAAUCAAAAGAGGAGUUAAGCCUUUGAGUUAUUGAACCGUUAGAUGAAUAUAAUGGUGAAGAGUUGGUUUUGAACCAUCCAAGUGAAAAAUGAGGACUGCUACUUUAAUUGGACGUGGACUUAACAUGUUGGGCUUGAGUCCAGUUGGAAUUAUGAUAACGAAGAGAGCUUGGGCCGUCAGAUUAAUCUAGUGGAUGAACUUGGGCCCGUUACCACUUAAGGAGAAGAGAGUUUUGGAGUGGACCAAUCUUCCUCUUCUCCCUAACCUAAUCGUGAACUGACAGGAUGAUUGAUAAGGAGACGCUGGCGGCAUCUCAUUGGUGGAGGUAGCCUUUGUUUGGGAAGGAUGGAAGGGCCCUUGCGGCAGCUGAGACUCGAGGAAGACCUAGAGGUAGCGGCGGCUCAAGUUAGGGGUUGUUUUGCUUGUCGAUGGAGAUUAAAGAGUAGUGGCGACGACUCUGGAUGCAGAGUAGCAAGAUUCGGCCACUGGUGGCGCGUGGGCAGCGUUUGUGGCCACUAGUGGCAGCAGACGAUGGCUGGCGAUGACGAAGGUAGAGGGGGAAACAACGUUUCCAAGAGGAUCGGAGGUUGUUGGAGCUUUGCCGGAGGGUCACCAGAAUCUAGUCAGCCUCGCCGGCGGCGAGCACCAGAGAAGAAGAGUGGUCAUCCCGCAACUUUGGAGAAGUUCGGUGACCGAUCUGUAUGUCCUAAAGGAUUAGUUGCUAAUCUGAAUUUGGUUAUUCUUAAGCCUUGCUUCGUUAGCUCUAAACUUUUGGAUGGUUUAUUAUUGAUGACUCGGGUUAUUUUUGUUAACGACUAGAAGUUUCGUAUCCAUUAGCAUAACAGAGGCAGGUGGAGGACUGGCGCAACGUUUCUGUCCCAACAACUUUCAGAUUGUUGCAAAGAAGUAAAUGUAGCAUAACUCGACCGUUUUGCCUCUAAACCACGCACGAUCAGAAGCUGCAGAUACUUGGCAGGUGGGGAAUCCCAUCAAGCCAGAAUUAGAGGUGUCAGCUUUUUUUAACAGUUGGGGGCACGAUUACUUUUCUGCUUAUAAGUUUAGAACUAUAAUAGGUUGUGAAGAAUCCAAUGACCGGAUUUUUCGUGACUCGGAGUGAGGGCUCUCAGAACCAUACAGUAAUGUAUGAUCUACUGUACAAAUGUUGUGAUGUAAUUUAGAGCAAGGGCUCUCAAGACUAAUUGUAGCGUGUGAUCUACUGUACAUAUGUCAUGAUGUGAUUUAGAGUGGGGGCUCUUAGGCUGUACAGUAGCGUGUGAUCUACUAUAAAAUUAUUAUUUUUAGCAUAAGCUCAUGGCAUUUGAGUUAUGACGUGUGAUUCAUAGUUCAUGUUAGGAUAGGAUAGGCGUAGUUAUACUAGCUCACAAUGAGUAUGUGUUGGUCACCCACUCCCGGAUUGCGCAAUCUCUUAGGUUAUAUUCAGGUUCAGGCAGGACUUGUAAAGUACGCCUACAGAUGCUGCUCUCACGGUAUUCAUGCUGGUUUCAUGGGAUGAUCCACCAUAAGGCCUUCCACACACAGUUAAGGAUGGCUGAUGCUAGGUAGAUGCUUACAGUGACUAUAGAGUCACAUUAUUAGAGUAAUGACUAGAUAGACUUCUAUGUUCUAUUCAUAUCCUUAGUAUUAGUCUUAGUUUCCCUCAGUUCUUAUCACUCGCCCCAUUACAUGUUGUUUUCCUUGGUGUAUUUGUGUAUUUCAAUCACGGGUACUGAAAUUGAUGGUGGAAAGAGAGCUGAUCAGAAUUUUAAUAUCUAUCGAUAUCUAUUUUGAUGUAAUUUCAGUUUUAGAGUUGUUCUCCUUUUGUUGUGUUGUGAUUUGGGAUCCUCUUUGGUCAGUGUUAUUAAAGUGUUUCAGUUAAGCUUUCAAUACUUGUGUUUCAUGCAUUUGUAAGUAGGUUUGAGUUGAGUUUUGUUCAGGUUAGAAUCUGAGUAGGAUUCCUCGGUUGAACCACUAGUUCGACCAAGACUUCUAAGGUGGGGUUUCACAGUUAAUGACUAACCUAAUUAUUUAAAUUUGGUGUUCUAGAUAUGCUAGCUAUGAUACCCCAUUUUGGGUUGACAGUUUCCUUUUUGGUCGAGAUCCCUUGUAGGAAGACGCAAGAGGUAUCAAGAUAGCUCCUAAGCUAACAAACCCAACUAAACUACUCGAAACUAGGGGGAGGGAAAGGANNNNNNNNNNNNNNNNNNNNNNNNNNNNNNNNNNNNNNNNNNNNNNNNNNNNNNNNNNNNNNNNNNNNNNNNNNNNNNNNNNNNNNNNNNNNNNNNNNNNNNNNNNNNNNNNNNNNNNNNNNNNNNNNNNNNNNNGCUCUAUCAUAACCAUCAUUACUUAGGCAGUAAAAAUAGUCAUGUAUGCUAGUAAUUUACAUUAAGGGAUGUAAAUGAAGGAAAUUGAGUUUAAUAAAGCGACCAUUUUCAGUAAUUAAAUCGAUUGUCAAAAGAGUUACGAAAGGGUGGCAUGAUUGGUGAAAAUGGAGAUAUGGAGGAGACAUUUAAUUAGGGCAAGGAUUAAGGGCUGUCUUUUUUAUUUAAUUAAUUAUUAAUUGCAGGGGUAAAAAUGAAAAGGCCCGAAUAUAGGAGAGUAAUUAACUUAUUUAUCGGAUUAAUUAUCCAUGAAUGAAUUUAACUGGUCGUUUUCCAAAAUAAUAAUGUCACCAUCACUAUAAUCGUCGGGGGAACGUCUGAUGGCUAUCGUUGGAGAAUCUGAUUACAGAUGUACUGUUACCAUCGGGGAAAAUUUCGAUGACCAUAAUGUAGGAGAUUGAGCUCCAAUUAUGAUGCAAAAUGGCCACGACUUAGGAGAUUGAGCUCCAAUUACGAGGUAUAAUGGCUAAGACCUAGGAGACUAAGCUUCAAUUACGAGGCAUAAUGGCCAAGAUCAACAUAGGGUCGUCAACAAACUUAAUCAAGCUAAUAAUCUUUCCCUUAAAAUUAAUGAAUGAAUCAAGCUAGUAAAACAAAAUCCAUCAUCCUAGAAAAGAAUGAUAAUUAAACAAACACAAUACAUAACAACAAAUAUUUCCAAAGGACAUGGACAAUCGAGAGACAUAUAACACACACAGGUCUUCUUAGUAGAAAACAAUAGACAAAUAAUUAAAGAUCUACCGAUUGAGCCAACAAUCAUACGAUCGAUGAAUCCCUAAUUUUUAUGAAGCAAAGCAUGAAAACAAGCAACAAUUAACAUUACUAAAUCUGCUUUAGUUUCUCAUAAUCAGAUCAUGGGUUAGUGAUUUUGUGGCCUCUUCUUUCGUUCAUCUACCAUUUUGAUUUGCCUCUUGUAUUUCCUCUCACAUCUAAUGAUAUCGAGAUUGAGCUAGGUUUGCAAAAGAAUAUGAACUCACGGUCGUCGUCCACCUUGAGAGUGACGAAGACGAAGGUGGUCGUCGCUCACUUGUUGAAGUUGAUGCCAUCCUCGAUCACGCCAUUCCCUUCAAGAUCCUGGCCAGCAUGUGGCCGAAAUCAUUGUCGUCGAGCCUACCGACAACGAGUUUCCCACUAGUAUGGAGAUCGCGAUUGCAACGUUUGCGGGUGUGCCACCGGUAGCCUUGUGGAAGCCUUGAGCCUCGACGAGGGAGACACCAGAUGCGGUAGGGAUGAAGUUGAUCAGCAUCUCAGCGAUGUUGAAAAUAAGGGAGGAGUCUGCUGAUCCACCAUUGGAGACCAUCUUAGGGGCCGUAAGUCUGUCACAGUUGUGGUUGUCAGAUAGACCAGAGAUGUGGUCAGCCAUUAGUCAUGGUUGUGACCAUCAAGAGAUCAUGGGUGUGACCAUUAGUAGGUCAUGUGCAUGGUUCCCUGGUAGUAACAUACAUGGUGUUAAGUCGGCCAGGGCAUGGCAGACUUAUUGUAAAACCAGAGUUGCGAUCAGCAGCUCAGAAUUACAGAAACCCCAAACUUAGAAUCAUCUAUGAAGAAUGAUAAUCAAUUUUAGGAGGUGGACAAGGCAGAGUUGAUCGAUCCCAGAUUAGUAGCAGAGGUUUAGAGAUCAUUGAGAAAAAUUCAGAAGGUCAAAAUGGAACAGGCGAUUAAGUUCUAGGAAGGAAGCUUCAGAUCAGACUCUAUCAGGAAAGCGUAUCAGUGGUGGGGGCUAAUAUUACUUUUCUACUUUAAGCAUAGAAUUGUAAUUAUGAUUGUCAAGAAUCUGAUGAUCGAAGCUUUAAGCAUACCGUGUGAUCUAUUGUACAUAUGUUACGAUUACAGAGCUGGGCUUGCAUGCUGGACAGUAUCGUGUGAUCUACUAUACAAACAGUUGUUUAAGUUUGAGUAUAAGCUCAAUGUGAUUGAGUUAUACGUGUGAUCCAUAGUUCAUGUUUAGGAAACGAUCAUGUUUAGCUAUAUGAGCUCCCGAUAUGUGUUGGUCACCCACCCAUGGAUUUCACAAUCCCCCAGGUCAAGUUCAUAUUUUUAUGCAGGAUAUGUCAAGUAUGCCUACAGAUGCUGCUCAUAUGAUUUUUGGGGUGGUUUCAUGGUCUGAUCCACCAUGAGGCUAUCUACUAUAGCUAGGGGUGGCUGAUGUUAGGAUGAUGCCUACAUGACCACAAUGUCACAUUACUAGAUGUCUAGUGAAGUUCUACGCGAGUCUAGUUUGGCCACUCAGUGCUUAUCACUAACCCCAUCUCUUCCUUGCAUGAUCAACUGUGGAACCUCAUGCGCAAAUGCCGCCUAAGAGAACUACACGAGCAGCGACACCUCAACCGAGUCAUAUAGUGAGGUACCUGAGAGGACCUCAUUAAUCCCUUUUCAUGUUUUCAGCUGUUUUCUUGAUUUCAGGAUUUUUAGUUGUGUUUAGUAGACUUCUCUAUAUAUAUUGAGAUUCCCUGUUUUGGGAUGUUUUUACAUUAUUUCUAGUACUUGAUUUCAGCCAUAGAUGCUCUAUUUUUCAUACGCUGUCAUUUACAUGUUAUGAGGUAUUUUAGGAUUAAAUCAUAUUAUGUAUGUUUAUGUGAUGAGUCAACCCCCGAGUAAUUGUAUGGAUCGAACCACAUGGUUUGAUCGGGUCGUCUAGGGCCGAAUUUCACAUUUGCUCUUUCGAGACAAUUACAAAUCUAACAAGAUCCUAUUCCAGAUGGCGAAGCAAGAAUAAGAACGGAAAAAAAUUAAACAUAAACAAAAAUCCAUCCAACUCGCAUAAAUUGUUAAAGUCGAACAAUCAUCCGUUCAUAAGAAAUUAUCUAGGGAUCAUCUAAUCUACGCACUAGGAGUUUAGCUAAUCAUAUUCAUUAAGGAAAAAUCAAAAUCAAUAAAGGAACACAUUGGAAUUAGGUUUACAAGAAGAAAUUCGAAAAACCUAACUUCUGCGAGAACUGUCGAAGAAAUCGAUCCAAGCUUCUUAAAUUUGAUGCCUUCUUGUCGCUCCGAACUCUCUGAACUAUGCUUUCAGAUUCACCCCAAAAGGGUCUCAGGUGAAUGGACUAGAGACAACCAUUAAAUAUAAUUUCAGAGAUCUUUAUUUCUACCAAAUUUUAUCAAUAAUUGCACUAUAACCCUUUAAAGACUGUGCUGAGGUCAUAGUACAAUCAAAGUAAGGAGAACUCUCUAACACAAGUUCAAAAACCUAUUAUCAACCUUUGCGUUAAGACCCGUAGGGAAACCUGCCCUAGACAACUCGAUCGAUCCACAUGGUUCGAUCCAGCCAAUAUUCGCAGGUUCACUCCAUCACUUCAUCAACUGAAAUAACUAAACUGAAAGAUCCUCAAAACAUAAAACAACUGCUGAAAAGAUAAACAGAGCAUCUAAGGCUUGAAUCUUGUAUCAAAGACAAAGUGAACAUCCCAACAUCUAGAGAUAAGCCUGAUCAAAACAACUGAAAACAAGGAAUGUGUGAAAUCAUGGAAACAUCUAAAAACAUGAAAAUGAUGAAAGGGAUAACUGAGGUCCUCCAUGGUACCUUUCUCUAUGAAUCCUAAAGUCACUAAGUGGAGGCGUCAGUUAGGUGGCAUUUUCUCCUGAUUUCCCAAGGUUGAUCGUACAUGAAGAAACGAGACGGGGGUCAGCCAUAAGCACUAAGUAACUAAGCCUGAACGUGAAGAACAAACUAGUAUCUAGUUAAGUGACCAUGUGGUCCUAUAGGUAUCAUCCUAACGUUAGCCACCCCUAGAUAUAAGCGGACAACCUCAUGGUGCAUCAGAGCACAAAACCAUCCUGAAAAGGCAUGAGAGCAACACUGAAGGUUAACUCAUCACAUCCAGUAUGAACCUGAAUGAAUCCUAGGGGAUUGCGCAAUCCAAAGGGUGGGCGUCCAAUGUAUAGCAGGAGCUAAUCUAACUAGUCCUGAUGCUCGAGCUAAUCUAACUAGUCCUUAUCCUAAUCAUGAACUGUGAAUCACACACAGUUCAUCGCUGUGAGCUUAUGCUUGAAAUUAACAACUAUCUAUGCAGUAGAUCACAUGCUACACAAUAACCUAAAAUACUCAACUACAAUUCACAACCACAAGUACAGUAGAUCGCAUGCUACUAUACAGUCCUGAAAAUCCAAGCAAGGAUUCCUAUCAACUAACUAUAAUUCUUCGCCGAACCCCUACCUCUGAAAUUUUUUCCUCUGAAGAGUUUGAUCUGAAGUUGUCUCCCUAAAGCUCGAUUGCUUGAUAUGAAUGACAUGUUGAGAUCAAAUGUAGGAUUCAAAUCCCAAAAUCCCCAAACUCUAACCUGUCAGGAUUUCCCUACGUAGGAUUCAAAUCAAAGGAUUGACAAACGAGGAAGAAGAUAGAUUACCUUCUAAAGCUUCCUUACAGAUCUCUAAGCCUCUCUUACCAGUCAAAUGGUCAUCCCCUCUCUAUAGAAUCAAUCACCGUUCGUUAGUGAUAUUACAAAACUAGGUUUCUGUAAUUCUAAGUUCUAGAAAUUGCGGCUCUAUUUUUAUAAUUAGCCCACCACACACAUGGCCUACUGAUGGUCAUGGUCGUGAUUCUCCUGUCAGCCACGAUUAUGACCUUCACUUACCACAGACGUUAUCUACCUGAUGAUCACGUCCAUGAUAGAGUAUCCGUCAUGCCCGUGAUAGUCCAUCUGACAACCAAUUCUCAGAGACUCAUAGAAACCGAAUUAAACCUACUGAUAAAAUUUUUCUCCUUCCUGGCCUUGAUAGAUUGUUGAAUAUAUGUCGUGUUCAAAUCCCCAGCAUUAACACAAAGAUCUCAAGACUUUUGGGGCCGAAAGGACUCCUCCAAGAAGUGGAGUGUAGUCCAAGCUACCAUAUUGACCAUUUUAGUAGUGGGGGAAGGCAAAUUCAAAGAAUCAAUCUGAGACUAUUUAAGAAGAAUUUUAGCAGCCUUAACUUUCUCCCGAGUAUUAUGAAAUGCUUCCAGAUUCAGGCACUUACGAGCAAUCUCCACCUGAUAACGUUUACCAUACAAACCAUAGUAGAAUUCCAAGCAACUUUUACAAUCUCAUCAUAGCUCUUAUGCGCGAACACAUAUUGAAGAAUUUAAAAGGCUUCGGGACAGUAACAACUUGAAUAUCAGUAGUCAUCAGCAUACAACUUGGUCAGAGAACGAAGGGGGAAAUAAGACCACCUGGAAAUUAGGGAAGGCAUCUGACUAGUCUGACUUAAUCAUCACCCUAUCUAGCCUCCCUAAUCCAAGAACAAAACCCCCUCAUACUUCCAAUUGCAAACUGUAUCCAACCCCUCGUCAUGAGGGGCUCGUCCUAGUACUUACCAACACCCUAAUCUAACAACUAAUAAUCUAGCUUAUGAUGAUUGAUAUAAUAGCUAAGGGAAAAAAGAAAACAACCAUUAUCUUAAAAGGAAUGCAAAGAUGGUGACGCUUGCUCCAAUCUUCAGUCCAAGCUCUCAAAGGUUCUCUAAUUUAAUCUUCUAAGGCUCCAAUUGAUGAUGGAUGAGGUGCAAUUUUCGGACUAGGCUUUGGUUAGGAGAGAAAUGGGGGUGAUGAAACAAUAUGAAGCCAAAGAAUGCUCCCUCUCUCCUCAAAAUCCAAAUCCUAUUCCUCUGCCUGCAAGGUCCACAUGGCCUAUGGAUCCACACGGCAUCCACACGCCAUGUGGCCUCUUUCCCAACCGGGCCUUCCGUUUUUCAAUCACACUUUUCUCCCUCUUCCGACCUCCGUUUGAGCUCCGAUUGGUAUCGCCAUAAUUGUCUCAUCGCCAUCUAUGUAACUGAUACCUGCAAGCUCAUAUGCCACAUGAGAAAACAUGUCAAACGGUCCAAAAUGGUCCAUUCCAAACAAUGCUACACAAAACCCUUGUUUCUCCCAACCAAUCAUAUUGGUGGGUCAAAAUAAGGUCAAACGAGGUCAACAAGGUGUCAAAAUGGGGUCAAAUCAGCAACGAAUAAUCGUGCUAUCAGCUACAUUAUUCACUUGAGACGUCACGAACCCCAAAAGAAGGGAGGUAUUCCAUAACCGUACUUGCUCUAGGCAAUCGAGUCUUGUGUUGUGCAUUUGAUAGCUACAUACGUGCAUCAUGCUUAGAAAGAACUUUUGAAAACAGCUUUUGUAAAGUGAUUAUGAAAACCUUUCCGAUAGAGGAUCAUUAAAAAGACCAUUCUACUUGUAGUUUCAACCGAAGCGGUUCACAAGGUAGAAAGGUUUUAGUUAACCCUCCACUAGUUGUGUUAGAUUAUAAGAAGGUGCAAGACGUACGCGGAGUAACUUUUGAAGUUGAAAUUGAAGAUCCUCAAUUUGCCAUCAACUAGCUUUGUAAUUUGAAGGAGGUCUUUGACCAACUAAGGGAUACACCGGAUAAUCAGCUUUGCUACUCGGUCUUCUUACUUCGUGGCCAUGCUAGGGCCAUGUGGGGAGAUAUAACAAUUGAUGAGGAGGAUCCCUUCUCAUUGGGCUGGGAAGAGUUCAAAAUGAGAUUCAAAGUCAAGUUCAUUCUUGAGCAGUGGAAGGAGGACAAGGGGUUGGAGUUUAUGUCCCUCAAGCAUGGAAAUAUGAUCCUAAUGGAUUGUUACAUUAAGUUCACUCGAUUAUUGAUGCGGCAUCCUACUAUCCCGGCUGCGCGUAAGGCAAUGAAGAAGAAACGGUUCCUAGUAGAACUUCAAACAAGCAUUCAGAAGGGGCUAGCAAGUUUUGACAUGACUAGCAUGACGACCAUCAAGCAGGCAACAAUGAGAGCUGAACACAUGGAUAACAUGGGAAAGGCAGAAUGGAAGGAAAAGAAUGAAGAUAGGAAGAGGAAGGCAGUGAAUCAAACACCAAGUCACUCUAACGAGGGAUCAGUGAUGAAAAAGGGAUCGAGUGUGAUAACACAUUAGAGACUAAUGCUGACGAUGUUGUGUCAACAGAUAAGUUCCUCACCUUUGGAAAAUCCAAUUUGUCAACAUUGGGGGCAGAAACAUUUUGGAGAAUGCAGAAUGGUGUGAAGGGGAUGCUUUAGGUGCAGUGAAUUAGGACAUUGGGUUAGCAACUGCCCAUUAAUGGAUGGUCAAGCACCAUAUGAGGUCUCUAUUCAAUAGAAUAACCGAGCUCCAUUUAGGAGUGUAUUUACAGGAGGCAGUGGAGAUGGUUUAUAAGGAAGCAAAGGUUCUCUAGUGGGUUGAGGAAUGGGAGCCAACACACAACCAUUAGGUGGUUGUUCCCAAACCACAUGAGUUGCACAGAUAGGAGGAAAUACUCACGGUCGUGUUCAUGCUAUGACACGGGAGGAGGCGAAGGAGACAUCUGACACUGUUACUGGUAAAGUCUCCAUCCUUGGAUGUACCUUAUAGGCCUUGUUUGAUACUGGUUCUACGCAUUCCUUCAUUUCUUGACAAUCUGCGUUAAACUUGCAAGUAGAACCUGAAGACAUUCUGUUACAUUCAAAGAAUAAGAAGGCGUAUACUGAAACCUCCAAAUUUUUCUUAGUGUUCUAAGGGAGAAAAGGUUAUAUGCCAAGUGUUUAAAAUGUGAGUUUUGGUUCAAGAAAAUUCUAUUCCUGGGACACCUAAUAUAUGGAAUGGGAAUUAAGAUUGACCAAAGAAAAAUUGUUGUGGUUAAGUGGAAGCCACCCACUGAUGUAUUAGAGUUACGUAACUUCCUUUGUAUGGCAGGUUAUUAUAGAAGGUUUUGUGGAAGGAUUCUCAAAUAUUGUUGCACCAUUGACAAAGCAGUUGAGAAAGGACACUCCUUAUAAAUGAGACGAGGUGUGUGAAUCAAGUUUUGAGGAGUUGAAGACUACACUCACUACCACGACAGUACUCACCUUACCAACCCCUAGAGGAGAAUACAUGGUGUCCAGUGAUGCUUCUUAUCAGGGUUUGGGUUGUGUAGUAAUGGAUAGGAAGAUAAUCGCCUAUGCAUCAAGGCAAUUACGAUCACACCAUGCCAUAUACCCUACCCAUGAUCUAGAAUUAGUGGCUGUCGUUUUUCUUUAAAUAUAUGGUGAUACUACCUUUAUGAUGAAACAUUCAAGAUUAUGACGGAUCAUAAGAGAAUUAAACAGUUGACAGAGGAGGUGGAUUUAGUUAUUGAAAGACUAUGACUUCAUUAUGGAAUACCAUCCUGGAAAAGCUAAUGUUAUAGCAUAUGCAUUAAGCAGAAAGGAGUGACUUCUAGAUUUGGUGGAGAUUCGAGCCUGAAGGGUGGAGAUGGAAGUUGAUGAGCUUGCAACAUUGAUGGGUCGAUUAACUAUCAGGCUCUUACUUCAUGAUCGAAUGCAAGAUAGACAAAGAGAAGAUUUCAAGCUUCAAAAGAUCAUGAAUGAGGUAGGAAAAGGGGAGAAAAACCAGUUUGAGAUAUCAAAUGGCUUGCUAAAGUGAAAGGACAAGUGUGUGUCUUGGAUGUGGAUAACCUACAUAAAGAGGCAUUGGACGAGGCGCAUUCUUCAGUUUAUGCCAUGCAUCCAAGGCGAUAAAGAGGUACCACACAAUUAGAUCGCAUUUUUUGUGGCCGGGAAUAAAGAGAGAGGUGGUUGAACAUGUAUUGACUUGCUUAGUCGGCCAAAAGAAAAACGUGGAGCAUCAGACACCCGUCAGGUGAACAACAUUCGUGACCUAUUCCAUUAUGGGAGUUUGAGCAUAUUACUAUGGAUUUUGUGAGCGGUUUACCUCCUACAAAAGAAGGGAAAGAUGCAGUAUUGGUAAUUGUGGACUGAAUGACUAAGGUAGCUCACUUCAUUCCAAUCGGAUGGAAGCCCAACAAUGAAGUGGUAGCAAGGCUAUAUGUGGAGAACAUAGUACAACUUCCUAGGGUUCCCCCUCAAUUGUGUCGGAUCGAGACCCUAGCUUCACAUCACAUUUCUGGCAAAGUUUGCAUCAAGCAUUAGGAACAAGGUUGAAAUUCUCUAAAGCUUAUCAUCCGUAGAUAGAUGGGCAAUCAGAGUGGACCAUACUUACUCUUGAAGAAGUUCUACGGAUAUGUGUAAAUGAGUUAGAAAAGCCAUGGACAAGGUUGUUACCUCUUGUAAAAUUUUCUUACAAUAACUCCUACCAUAGUAAUUUGUGCACUGCUCUAUAUGAGGCAUUGUAUGGACGGAAAUGUAGAACUCUAUUGUGUUGGGAUGAAGAAGGGGAAAGACAGAUGAAGGGGCGAAAACUAACUCUGGAAACAGCUUAAGGUGAAAGUUAUUCGAGAAAGGCUUAGAGUGGCUAGGAUUGCUAGAAAUAGUAUGCAAACCGUCGAGCUCUGUAAAUAAAUUAUAAGGGCGGUAAAAAGGUUUUCCUAAAGGUGUCUCCUUGGAAGGCCAUGCUGAGGUUUCGGAGAAAAGGGAAGUUGGCCCCAAGGUACAUUAGACCUUACGACAUUAUUGGUGAAGUGGGACCAGUUGCUUAUGUCUUAGCUCUAUCGAAUGACUUGGAUCGAAUUCAUAACGUAUUUAAUGUGAGUAUGCUAAAAAAGUAUCGCGUGGACCCAUCCCAUGUGAUCAAACUGGAUGAGGUAGGUUAGAAGAAGAUCUGAUGUAUCAGGAGGUGCUAGUCCAAAUUGUAUAUUCACAUAUUCGGGUUUUAAGAAGUAAGCGGAUCCCGAUGUUGAAGGUGAUAUAGAGGAAUCACGAGGGUGAGUAUCCUAUGUGGGAAACAGAGGCGAAUAUGCAAGAGAAGUAUCAUGAGCUUGUAGACACGUAUCUACCAAGUUAAAUUUCUUACUAUGUGAUUUUAUAUGCUUAUGUUGUGAUCACUUAUCAAAGGUCUUACAUACCUAAUAUUUGGAAACUUGACUUGUUAUGUGCUUAUUUGCAUGUGAUGCAUAUGUGGUUAGGCGACAAAAUAUAGAUUCGUAGUAAGAGCUAAAGUUAAGAUUCUGAGGAUGAAAUCUCGUAAGAGGGGAGAAGUUGUAACAUGUCAUCUUAACUGCGCCACAAGUUUGUUUAACUCAACAUACUACUGGUCAUAUCCUUUGAAUAUCUGCAUAUCCAAAGUUGAUGAACUUAGUAGGUGAGUUUAAUUAAAUGUGAAGUUUCCACCCACCACAUUUUUAGUAGAUGGGAAGAAAAAGAUGGCGAUACACCCACCUAUCCACAAAAUGUCAUUGCGUUUCCUUCCCUUGUCUGCGUAUGAUAAGCAUAUUCAUCCCUUAAGUUGCUAAGAGGAAGAAGACAAUAACAUUUGACUAUAAAAAUACAUUAGUUUUACAGUUAAGGAUGAAUACAUCAGUCGGUAGUUAAACUUGAGAGGAGGUAAUUGUGCAUUCUAGUUGGGAUUAGAGAGUACAGAAGUUGAGAGGGGCUUCGACCCGAAGGCUCAUACCGGUGUUUCUGCUAGCCUUUUUAGUGAGGGCCACCAGCAUAUCCGAUAGGGUUAAAUGUUCCUUUACGUGUCAAUUUUUAUGUCAUAUGCAUGCAUGCUAGGAGAGUGACCCUAUGCAUUUAUUUCAUUAUGUUUACUAUAUUUGUGACUUAUAGUGGAUAUGAAAUAUGUUAUGUUGUCUUGCUAUUAUUUUUGGCAUGAUAUAUGUUGUGACCUUAUCUUUACUUGAUGAGUAAUCUCCUAGAUAAUUAUUUUAUGGGAAAUAAAUGGGUAAAUGUUUGAUCACCUAAUUUAGGAACCAUAGGCUGGCGGUCUACAUGUGUGCAUAUUGCACUUCAGUUACAUGUGUGUUACGUGAUGGAUUUUUUGUUAUGUGAUUAUCUGCACCCUAGGUUAACUCAGUGCUAAAGACAAUCACUCAGUGAUUUGCACUGACCCCUUAUUUUUCCUCAGACUUACAGUCAAAGACGCUGGUACACACUGAGAUUCUACUGUUGAUCAUCAUGUCAGGUAGAAUCAAAAAAUGGGUCUUGAUCCUCACUGUUUAUUUAUGGGUUUUAAACUCGUUUGUGUUUUAUAUUGUUUGACCAUAUGUAUAAGUGAUCUGACAUCGUGUGUAUUUAAGUGAUGCUAGGUUGUCUUAUUAUGUGUAAUGGCCAUAGAGGCGACGUCUUUGGUAACUCUACUAGUAUUUGUGGAGAGGAAGACUUUUUACCUCUGCCUUUCCUCCUAGACCUCUAUUAUGGGUUGAUACAACGUGAGUUUAUAUAAUCUUGGUGCAACGAUUUGAAAGGUGGCUAUUUCGAGUUUCUCACAAUGUGGGUCAAAACGGGCUCAAUAAUUAACAAGUUCAAUAGGGGACUUAUCUGGUGAAUGACUUUCGUAACGUAGCAUCCCAUAACAUUUUUUUGCUAUUUUUACUAGAAUCAACAUGAUUUUAUGAUCGGUGUGUUUGGGGUGUUACAACAUAUUUGAUCUCCAUCCAUGAUUUGUGAGUAUUUUUCAGAGCCUCUCACUAGCAAUUCUCUCUAUCCAAAAAACAUUCGACCUACCCUUGCUAUCUAUCUUUCGGUCAUUCAAUUUACCACCAAGUUUGACGACGUGGCUUUGUGAAGUGGCUAAACUUAACUGAAAAUGUAUGGAAAGGAUAAUGAAAGUGAUCAUUUUUCAGGUUGGUUAAGUAAAAGGGGGAACAAGGAAAAUUUAAUAGUCGAAGGGUUUGAUAUUAACUUGUUAAAGUAGAGGGGGCCAAAAUACUAUUAUCCGGAUUAUAAAAUGAGGAAGAAACGAGGGGACGAUAAUGUAUAAAAGGCAUGGUUAACUUAGCAAAGUAGAGUGGGAAAAAUAUUAAAACCCUUAUUAUAAAAUGAGGAAGGAGGACGGGACGACAAUGUAUAAAAGGCGUGGUUAAGCAAUAUCGGACUGGCCGGUCCGACCGGUUCUACCGCAAACUGGCGAAAGAGCUGAAACCGAGUCGUUGGUUGAUGAGACUGGUCAAAACCAGGCAUUGACGCGGGUUGACCGUCAAAUUUGGCCAUUUCGAGUGAAAUUGGUUGGCCGGAUGGACCCGAUAUUUGUCACUACACUUUUUAUUUUUCAAAAAAGGAAGAGUGGGAUUCGAACCACGAUCUUUCAAGUAGAGAGGAUGAGUGAUUGCCAUCUCUACUGAUAUGAUAAUUUAAUUAAAACGUGCAUUUAAGGGAAAAACUCUAAAAUGCCACGACCUAUAUACAUAUCGCCAAAAAUGUCAUCACAAUAUUGAUAUAGUUUCUACGUCACGGCCUAUCUAGUUUCAAGCAGAAAAUGUCCAGUCGUUAGUUUUCUCCGUCUUCCGUUAGUCUAUUUCGUUUCAUUUUGCCAUGCCAUUUUUUAGGAUGAGUGAUUGCCAUCUCUACUGAUAUGAUAAUUUAAUUAAAACGUGCAUUUAAGGGAAAAACUCUAAAAUGCCACGACCUAUAUACAUAUCGCCAAAAAUGUCAUCACAAUAUUGAUAUAGUUUCUACGUCACAACUUAUCUAAAAUUUUUUUAAAAUGUCCCGCCGUUAGAUUUUUCCAUCUUUGAGCUGACGUGGAUAGCGUGUCGUUAAAUGAAUCAGCGUAACUGGAUGUUUUAAAUACCACAUUGCAUUACGUUUAUCUGACUGCAUAAUUAAUAAUUUAUUUUUAAUUUUAAAACUCAAUUUAUCAAAUUUAUUCUGCACCGUCAGUUUCAUGUUAUCACCACCUUCCUUCUUUUAAACCCUACUUCGUCCACCAUGGCUAGAACUCGCCUCCUUCAUUGUAAGCUCUUCUUCCCAUCUUAUCUCCAUUUCUUAAUUUCUUUCCGUUACAAUGCAACAACAAUUAGUAUUAAUUUGGCCUCCUGACAUUUCUAGAAAAUUUAAAAAGCCUAGGAAUCCAAACCUGGAAGAUGCUAUUCGGGAAGGAAAUAGUGAUGGAGCUGGCUUUCUACGAUGCCUACGCCGGAGAAUCCAAAGACGGCAGCUUGUCCGCCUCACCCGCAAGAUUCUCAAUGGGAGACGCCGUCUCUAUGUGCGUGGUGGUCUCCAAACCGGUGGGAUCCACCAAAUGUUGCACCUCCUACGACGACUUGUCAUACGCGAAUUUAGCGUUGUGUAGAUCCAGAUUCUCGAGGUUGAAAGGCGUUGUUCAUUUGCAAUCGGAAGAACACAAGAGUUUCAAGGCUGAUGCCCUGGACUGGAGUGGGAUCUGAUCUACAGAUAAAGUACUGAUUUAAUUUCAGCCCGCAUAGAAACUGGAAGCUCGAAUGUGACGUCAUUGACUGAAAGGACAAAGGUCGUCAACGACGAAGAACAUGAAGCAAACCUGGAGGAAUCGAACCAGUGAGAUUGUUCGAAGAUAGAUUGAGAUUCACAACACCUGGCAACAAAUCAUCGACAAGGUCGAAGAGACAAGCUCUCCGGAGAAUCUGUUGUCACAGAUGUCGAAGUGAGGGAAAGAUGGAAAAAGAAUAGAUUAAAUAGUUCAGAUGGACGGUGAAGCUUGAUAAAUAAAAAAUAUUUACAUUUUAAAUUAAAAUUGAGUUAAUAAUUAUCCAAUCAUAUAAAUAUAAUUCUAAAAAAUAAAUAUAACCCUAAAAAUUAACAUGUGGCGGGUCAAAUGGUCAAUUUUACCUACUCAUUUGACAUCGUCAAGUCCACGUUGCGUUGAAUAAGGAAAACUUUACCGACGGGACAUUUUUGGUAAAAUUUUAGAUAGGUCGUGACAUAAAAACUACAUUGAUAUUGUGGUGACUUUUUUUGCGAUAUGCCUAUAGGUCGUGGAAUUUUAGAGUUUUAUUGAUAAUAAUAACAAAACAUUAUGAUAGCUAAUUAACACUAAAAACUAGGAUAUUAACAAAAAUUAAGUAAAUUGUGCAUUAGAUCUCGAUUAUUUGAUUAAUAAAAACUUUAAAUCAUUUAUAUAAUUUAAAACUUCUUAACAAAUGACUCAAUAACUAUAUUUUUGACAAAUUAAAUUAUGUCAUUAUGAUAUUGAACUCUCUAUACUACCGAUUUGAUCCGGGUUAAUCAAAAAAUCGUCCAGUCCGACUUAACUAUAUUUAUUUAUUUAUUUAAUAAUUAAAACGGUCCAACCUGGUUUUGAUAACGGUCGGACCCGAUCGAACCAGAAAUGAUCCAACCUAAUUUUGAGAACGGUCGAACCCUAAAUGAACCACAAAACUGUAAACGCCUAACCCCAAAUUUCGGUUAGUCUUCCCAUUUUUAGGUCAAAAUUUUCGAUUUUCAAAAUUUGGGAUGAUUGGGUACACUUGUAGUGAACAUUGUGCUUGGAAUUUUGUCAAUGAUUGCCUAGGAUUAUUAUUGUGUGCUUGAACUUGUUGUUCACUUGGUUUUUCAUUUUUUCAAAAAUGGUAGAAUUUUUUAGUUUAGCCGAUUGUCGGAAAUCUGACAUUUUGAGUUGUUCUUGAUUUCCAGGUGUUUCAUUUGAUGGUUAUAUGUAUUGAUUAUGCCUCUCCCCUGCUUGUUUUCUCAGUCUCUUAUUGUUCGAUGAAAUUUUCUUUUUCGUCAAAUUGUUGGGAUACUGACAUUUUGUCAAUUUUUUCUGAAUUUUGAUAUGUGAGCUGUCUUGUUCGAAAAUUUUGUGCCCAUUGUGCUUCAAUACCAUAUAUGAUGCUUAUGAUUGCUGUUUGAUGUGAAUUAUGAUUUUUGGUAUAUGAUGCUCCAAUUGUGGCUUCAGUUUUGCCCCUUCCAGAUAUGGCCUAAAGGAUUUACAACUUCCCAGAACAUAAUGAGUUUGCCCCUCCGAUACGGAGUGUAACGGACUUGUUUAGUGGCCCCAAGGGGUACAUCGAUUUGCAGGGUUUUGUGGACAAAGGUCGGGGAGGUCUUCUGAAAAUUUACAGCGACUAAGUAGGUAUAUGGGAGCUGGUACAUGUCUCUGACUUGGAGCUUCCACACACGACCAGGGAGUUCUACUCCAUCCUGAAGAUCGUGAAAUACACUUCGACUAGACAGGCGGGUAAUAUUACCUUCUGACUUGGGGUUUGGGCUUUCUCCUUUUUGGCAGAAAAAUUGGCAAAGCAUAUGGGUUUUCUAUACUCGCGAUCAGUUGGCCAACUUGAAGCUGAUGUCGUUGGCCACUAUUGACAUGAAGCCAACUCCGAACUCGAGGGAGUUUUGGCAGUUUAUGUCGGUGCCAUGUAGAUUAAGAGGCCAUUGUUGAGGCUUAUUCACUUGAUGUUUCGACGCGCCAUCACUUCUAGGAAGGAGUUUAGCAACUGGGGAGUUGUGACUACCACAGACUUGUGGCUCUUCUACUUUCUCGAGAAGGAAGUGAAGGUGCACCUCGCCGAAUUGCUGGUUGGGCUUUUCAGGCAUGUCCUCGAGAUGAGAUAUUCGAGAGUUCUUUUUGUAGGGGACUUCAUCGCAUGACUGGUGUGAUAACUUGGAGUGUUGGAUGCUUUCUACAAGGACCCAUUGCUCCAACACGGGUACCCCAUCACUAUAACGAUGCUUCAUGAUCAUAGAGUGCCUAAUUUGGGAGUUGGUGUUGUUUCAGCGGGACCAGAGAUACUAGAACGUAAUAGGACAUACUUCCCCGUAGAGUCAGAUGAGACUCUUACAGCCGACUUGGGUGGUUUACAGAUCAUCAUGAGUGAUGUUGUGAACACCCAGAGAGGAUUGAGGCAGGAUUUUCAAGAGUUUUGCCAGGACGUACAGUAGUAUGCCGCCUAGACAAGAGAUGCUUGGGGACGUUAGGUUCGGUGAGUUGAGCAGUUUGAAGAGACUCAGGCUCAGCACCCUCAGUAGAUUUCGCAACAGGUUCAGCAGAUUACAUACAUACACCAGUAGCAACACUGGCCGAGUGAACACAUGUCCUACUACUAGGACAACUACUUCACCGGAGUGACCUACCCCCUUACGUGGCCAACAAAUCCACCAGCACCGCGGUGGCCAGAGUAUGGCAUGUACCCAUGGUUCCCAAGGUACCCAUGUCCUCCGCUAGAUCAGUGAUUUUGGGACGUAUCAGUGACUCAUGCUUUUAUGUUUUAUUUUUCCAUUUGAGACUUGGUGAAUUUUCUUUUUCUUGUUUUGUCUUUUGGUCUAUAUAACGGAUGAUAACACUUGUUACAUCUAUCACUAGUAUGUUGUUUGUGUUAUGGUUGGCAGGUCCCAAAAAUGAUUCUUCUAUCGCAUCUAACCACAAAACUCCAUUCCAUCAACUCAAUUCGGUAUCAACUCAACUCUUCUCUUAUUUGACCCCUUGUGAGGGUAAUGUUAUGAUGUUCUCGGAUGAAUUAGGGUGUUAGUCAUUUCACUUGAUUUCUUUAAUUGAACCUUUGUCACUCAACAUUUGAAAUUUCUACUUAAACUUGAAAACUUUGGAUGACAUGGAUGCAUAUUUAGUAUAGUAUUGCUACUUGAGGGUGAAUAGGAUGCAUGAUAGAUCAUUUUGGGACCACCUCCUGAUUUUCUCGAAUCGAGUUUAGAAUCAAUUUAUGCACUUGGUUACUCAGUCUUGAUGUCUACCGACGUUGCAAACAAUUAAUUCCCCUAUCCAGUCGCUCUAGUUAUUUCAAGUCAUAUGUGACUAGAUGGUCCGAGUAAGGUGCAAACGAGGCCAAUGUGCCCAAAUUAUCGUCGGAGUUCGGUUGUGAUUCAACACACAUGGCGACUUUGAGUCUAUCGCCUGUAAGCUAGUCCCUUCAUUCGAUCUAUUUGGAUGAGAGCCUUAGCCCGAUCAGGGUCACAACUACCCCCACCUGAAAAGAUACCCCCCAAAAGCUAUGCACAAAUUUCGAAAGAUGGGUUUGCAAUUAAUUGAGUAAUUCAUUUGACCCAAGGUGUUUAACCUAUCAUAUAUAGAAAAAUUGUAAGACAAGAGGAGAGUGCUCUGAAUUUGAUAUAUUAUUGAAGUAGGCACUUCCUCUCUCAGGACAGGAAAAAAUACCUGGCUAGGACCAUCUAUUUUGAGCAUAACUAUUCAGUACCCAUGUUUUGUUUGGUCGGUAGGUGUUGAGUAGUACUAACUAUAUGCAUAAGUUUGUUCUUUAUUUUGAUUAGAAGACUCGGUAAAUAUAAUUGUGUGGUUUCACUUUCAUAAUGUUUAGAGUUUGUUUAGAGUGCGAAUAGUCAAGUUGCUCAAGGACAAGCAAGGUUCAUGUGUGGGGGGAUUUGAUAGUGAUAGUAUUUGUAGUGGUUAUCUAUCUCUAUCUACAUGCUUUUGAAGUGAAUAUUAGCUCGUUUGUGCUUCAAUUCAGUGUGGUUUUGCGUCUUGGCAUUGUGUCCCUCGCCCCGUUCACUUGGACCGUUUCGGUCCAUUUCAUGUGUUUCUUUGUAGUAUUUGUUAUACACAGGUACUUUCGAAGAAGGUGGUCUGGCUAUGAAGCUACGGACGCGGAAUAGAGCACAGUUCGAACUCGAACGAAAGGACGGUGCAAGACUUGGUAAAGAAGAAGGGAUACGCGCCUUGCAUUACUGCACCCCGCACACCCCUAAACUUGAAUUACCCUCGAAGCUAAAGGGGGUGCACGGUGUGCACAGCAGGCCCUAAAGCUGGAAUUACUAUCAUUGCUAAAGGGGGUGCACGACAUUCACCUCCCGGAUGCAGCAACUACCAAAUAAAAUCCCGAAUUCAAGGAAAGAGAAACAAGUUCUUCUUCAACAAAAAAUUCCCAUGAUUUCUCCCAACUUCUCUCUGCAAAAACGUCCAUUUAUUCACCCCUAGAAUUCUAAUCGAAGAUCCGAAGGAGUUAUCAUUGAAGAUUGAUGUUAGGAUUUAAGUUAGAAGGCCAAAAGUGAAGAUUGGAGCAAGCUUGAUUCAUCUUCUCUUUAUCAAGAUGAUGGUUAUGUCUUUUUUGAUUUUUCUUCUUCUAGAGUUAUGAGUAGCUAGAUCUCUAAAGUUUUUGGUUGGGUUGUAAUGAAUUUAGCUAUUGAUAAUCUCCCUAAAAUUACAGGGUCGACCAUUGUUGGAUAAUUGGAUUUGAAUGAAAGAUUGCUUUGAUUGUUGGUUUUCAACCUCGUUCUCGUUUUGACUUGAAUUGGGUCAAAUCUAUGAAACCCUUUGUUUGAUAGAGUUAGGAAUUUAUAUGAUUAACAAUCUAAGAUAGAAGAACAUUAUCAGUGGAGUAAGCCAAUAGCUUUAUUCUACCUUUCGUGUUUCUUUUAGUUUUAAAGGUUGUUUAUCGAGUAAUUGGCGGGCGUUCUGAUUUGCACCUAAUGGAUCAAGUGGGUGUAGGUAUAUAUAGCUUCGGAGUUGAUGGACCAAGUUAACACUAAUUCCAAUUGCUUGUGAUUUCCCUUAAUUCAAAGAGUGCACAUUAUCACUUUGUAGAACUUCUCGGUGUUCAUUAUUGGUUAGCCUAGUUGAGGUGAUUUCAACCUUGAUUGGGAAGCUAGUAGUGGUAAUCUGCGUGCAUAAUUGUUUCGUGGAUUCAUACGAGUGAUAAGAGGAAUUAAGUUAUUCAAUCCAAUUCCAACGUUUGCUCGAUUCGACUACUAUUAGGAAGUUGAGCUUGAUGAAUUAUCCCUCCCAAGAACAUGUCUUCUCCUUCUCUUCAAACUUAAUUCUUGAGUUCUAAUUGAUAGUGAUAAUUAAUUUAGUAUCAUAACUUGAAACCAAUCCCAAAUUAUUCAGUCUAGACCGUGCUAUUAAGUUUGAGUAGAAGCAUAGCGAGAGGAAUCUUUGUAUACAUACGACACUUGUGUUGUCGAUAUAACUUAACAGUUAUUUUGGCGAUCAACUAGCAUCCUUAAACAAAAGCUAAACUUCUAUACCCUUGGUUGCGAUUGUGUAUUACUAUUAUAUUUAACCAUAUUGGUUGCAUAGCUUUCAUGGGAGGAGUACAUAAUUGGACCCAGGGGUGUUCAGCUAUAUCUUGUGAUUUUUUCGUCCAAUUGAUGGACUCGUUAUAACGAUGGCCUUUAACUGUUUGUCCUCCUUUGGAAAGAAGAAAAACUUAUCGGUGAAUACUUUCGUGUAUUUGGUAUACCAAAGUUUUCAGUGCGCGCGAUUUUCAUGGGUAGCGUAGAUAUCUCAUCAACAUUUAUUUUAAGUAUUGAAUCUAGACGCUUGANNNNNNNNNNNNNUAAGUAUUGAAUCUAGACGCUUGAUAAUUCAUAAUGUUUUAAAUCUUAGUUUCAUAUGUCUUUUUUUGCUUUCAAACAUAAUUUGAACUUUCAAACUCGUCACUCUCGUUAUUUACUAUAACCGUGUUCCGAUCGGGUAUUUUGAACAUGGGACAAAUUUGUAAUAUGAAACGCCUAAACACUUCAUGCUCGAUAAAUCUAAAAGGAAGUUCAUCCAGUAAAAUCAUUUCUACAAAAUCUUUCCUCGAAUCCAAUUGGUCAAAUUUCCAAUUACUUACUUGGUAAUUGACGAUGUUUAACCGCAGAUUCAAAGUUGACAUCACCUUGCUGUUUUUCAUGGGAAAAUAUGAAAUAAUAUUUUAGAUCAAUUUCUUUAAUCUUAUUAUGUCAGAAGGUAUGGAGCUUCAUAAAAUAGUGGAAUUUGUAAAAGAUUUCGGUGUCAGAACGAACAAAAAAAUAGUGGAAUUUGUAAAAGAUUUCGGUGUCAGAACGAUCAUCAAAUCGUAUUGUCUGACCCUCGUCUCAGUUCUCAGAGAAUCGAAAUAUAAGUGACCUUGGCAAUAUUAAGCAUUAAUCGAGCGAACAAGAACGAUUUUGUCUUUAAAUGAUCAAAUUAUUUGUUCUUGUAUCCCUAAAAGGUUGAACUCCAUGGUCAAUAAAAUCACAGAAAUUAUAGAACUGGAAUUUUUCUGCCUAACUAGAUCUAAAAUUUUAUGUAAAUUCCUUGUAAUGGAUGUGCCUUUUGGGUAACGAAUAUAAGCAGCACAAUUUGUUUCUAAAAAGAAUCAAAGCGACAGAGAUGCAUUAGUAGAGAAGAAACAAAUCAUAUUAANNNNNNNNNNNNNNNNNNNNNNNNNNNNNNNNNNNNNNNNNNNNNNNNNNNNNNNNNNNNNNNNNNNNNNNNNNNNNNNNNNNNNNNNNNNNNNNNNNNNNNNNNNNNNNNNNNNNNNNNNNNNNNNNNNNNNNNNNNNNNNNNNNNNNNNNNNNNNNNNNNNNNNNNNNNNNNNNNNNNNNNNNNNNNNNNNNNNNNNNNNNNNNNNNNUGGAACAUAGAGCAACAUAAUGACUAGGAUUUCACACAAAUGACAGAUCAAUCAAUAUAUUGCACUGGCUGGGGGGGGGGGCUGUCAAGUGCAAAGCUAGCACUAACAGAAACAACAACGUUAGAUUUGUAUAAUACCCAACUCAACAACUUAUACAAGUCUCACAAAUUGAACAAUACCCAACUCAACACUGUACAGUACCUGGUUAAUAUGGCUCUUAAUCAGAAGAAGAAGAAGAAUCAGUGAUUUUUAUGUGAAGGGGUACAAUCUUUUUAUGUUAGUAAAAAUGGAAUGUUCACACUAAGGGCUGCAUUGAUGUAGACAAUCAGUGAUUUUUCAGGUUUGGAAAUACUAUAUGGAUGGAACACUCACACUAGUCAGGCAUGUCCGACUUACAAUUUUGACUCACUUCCAUUGCGUUUCCCAGUUAGUGGAAAAAAUGUUUUAUGGGGAGUCGUCAGUUCUUGGAACCCACUAGUUAAGCUGACAAAUUACACACAAGUACCCCAACCUAACAAACUUUCACGUGUAAUGAUAAUCCUAAUGAUAGUAGNNNNNNNNNNNNNNNNNNNNNNNNNNNNNNNNNNNNNNNNNNNNNNNNNNNNNNNNNNNNNNNNNNNNNNNNNNNNNNNNNNNNNNNNNNNNNNAACAUAGAGCAACAUAAUGACUAGGAUUUCACACAAAUGACAGAUCAAUCAAUAUAUUGCACUGGCUGUCAAGUGCAAAGCUAGCACUAACAGAAACAACAACGUUAGAUUUGUAUAAUACCCAACUCAACAACUUAUACAAGUCUCACAAAUUGAACAAUACCCAACUCAACACUGUACAGUACCUGGUUAAUAUGGCUCUUAAUCAGAAGAAGAAGAAGAAUCAGUGAUUUUUAUGUGAAGGGGUACAAUCUUUUUAUGUUAGUAAAAAUGGAAUGUUCACACUAAGGGCUGCAUUGAUGUAGACAAUCAGUGAUUUUUCAGGUUUGGAAAUACUAUAUGGAUGGAACACUCACACUAGUCAGGCAUGUCCGACUUACAAUUUUGACUCACUUCCAUUGCGUUUCCCAGUUAGUGGAAAAAAUGUUUUAUGGGGAGUCGUCAGUUCUUACCAAUAACUCAUCGUUUCUAACAACAACGAACUCAAUUUGAUGGUAAGACUGAACUGAGGCAUGCACCCAUUAUGAAAUCUGGUUUUGAGAUUUUGGGACAAGUUGACAAUGUGAAUGUAGUAUUCGACAAGACUGAAGAUCCUAAGACCGGGAAGAAAAGAUCUCGAGAUAGUGAUAAGAAGGUGAAGCAAUGAAAGAAACGAACCAUAUUCUUUGAACUCCCUUAUUGGGUGUUCAAUCUCAUGUUACACAAUCUUGAUGUAAUGCAUAUUGAGAAGAAUUUUUGUGAUAACUUGCUCUUCAUAUUGCUAAAGAUGCGACUCAUUCAACUGAUUUCAAAUUGCUGGCAAGAGGUUCUUACAAAGAACCAAACAAGUUUUCAACAUUUGAUGUGAAUGGCUAUCGAUUCCUCACUCUGGAAUGGGAGAGGAUGCUAAAAACACAUAACAGUUGUGUUUGUUAACUUUGGUACUAAAAGUUAUGCUAGUUCAGUAGAAAUUAACCCGACGGAUAGUUCAGUCCCAUGUUAUGGAAAAUGAAAGAUAUCAUUCAAUUGAAUUACUGCAGACGAUUAGUCACAUUAUUCAAAUGCAAGUGGGCUAAUACCCUAACAAACAGGGGCUAUAGGAAAGAUUAUCUUAGAUUUGAAUGUGUUACUUCUCUCAUGUAAUACACACCGGUAGUCAAGCUGGAGAUGAGCCAUAUGUGGCAGCAAGUAAUUCCAAAUGGUGUACUAUGUUUGAUAUGAAGGAGGCAGAAUGGUGUGUUCCGAUUCAUAUUAAACCGAGGGACUUGUAUGAAAUGGGUGAUGAAACCAAUUCAGGACAUGCAUCCGAGGCAUUCCAGCGGUAAGAAUUGCCUAAUGUUGAUGACGGAUCAAACAAAUCUCUCUCACGGUUUAGUGUGGAAGCAAAAUUUGAUUGAGGCAUUAGACCUUUUCUAACAUUUGAUUGUUCAAAUUAAUAGAUAUAUUUUAUAUAUAGCCAUUAGUCUCUGAGUGUAUUAUAUGUUUUCUGUAAUACCCCGACCCUAAUACAAAAAUAUUUAUGUAAAAAGUCUCUAAUCUAUCCGUAAAAAAAGGGUUUAUAUCGAUAUUAGAUAAUAAUAAUUAUAUUUGGAAAUGGUGUAAUUAAUUGCUAAUCAAAGGGGUUGAGCUCAUUAAGUUUCACAUGGUUUAAGUAUAGUUAAUCAGUUUGUAAAAUGAUCAUGGAUUUGUUAGUAGCUCAACUGGUUAACCAACCAAUCCUCAAGUCUAUUGACUAGAGUUCAAAUACUAGGAGAAGCAUUUAUUUUUAAUUUUAGGUUCAUUUUCACUCAGCCAUAAAACGACGUCGUUUUGGGACAAGUGGAUUUGGUCAUCACCGUUGUCUUCCUCACCUCCUCCGACCAGCCUUGAUACCCGACAACAAACAUUUUUAGCGCAUCCCAAACGAUUGAAGGCCGUAAUCGGCGUGUCAAACCUUGAUGCCACAUUUUAGACUUAAACCCUCCGAUGAGGGCAAUCACAUAGCUAUUUAAAGCCAUCCAGAAUCAAUUUUGAGGAGGAGCAAGCUUGAAACGGUGUUUCCUUCUUCUCUGAUGUCGAUUUGCGUCGGCAAGUUCUAAACCAACCCAAGACCUUUAAAUACCUUGGUUGACUUCGUAUUAUCAAGACAAAACCUUACGUAUCCUUCGAUUUGAGUUUUUUCGAGUUUUAGUGGUGAUUCAAGGCUCACCGGAGCCCGGGUUCGUCGUCGCCGGAUUCUGGAAAUAAGUCUGGAAAAAUGAAUUCCCGUCGGUAAAUAUUCAGUUUAGUCCCUGAACUUUCAUACUUCCAGUUUAGUACCUAAACUAUCUUAUUUUGUUCUACGCAGUCUGUAACUUUUAAAUUAUUCCAGCUGCGGCCCAAUACUUUCCAGCUAUUGCAGUUUGGCCCGAAAGUGUUGAGUUAAGCCAUAAUUGCUGCAUUCUUGGACGUUUGACCGUAUUUCGAGUCAACCCGGUUAAUUCCAGGUGGGUUGGUUUAAGGGGGUAAUAUCUUCCAUUUUAAAUGUUUAAUAUGCAAAGUAGAGUCAGAGUUAUCCAAUGUGCUUUACAUGCUAUAUGGUUAUCUUUUUAAAUGAUUUUCAAUAUUGAUAUGAUAUGAUAACUUCGGAAGACUGACCCCGAGCCACCCACCAGUUCGUGACAGGUUAUAUGGUAUUAGAAGAAUAGAGGAUCUCUUCAUCUGCCGCCAGGCUGAAGUUGGGAUAUUGAUGAGACUGUAUAUUUCUGGGAUUUGUUUUAAAAGAUGGGUCCAUUCGCUGUUUGACACCAGUUUCCGGAAAUAAGUUGUUUGGCGUAAUAUUCCAGUUUUUCUGCAAAUGUUACCAGUAUCGUUUAUGUAUAAUUUUAAUUAUAUUUUGUACUAUUUCAAAACUAUGUCAUGUGUCCCGGGACAAUUUUUCGUUUCUUUCAAAAGGUAAAACUGGGAUGUUACAUUUUCAGUCAUGACAGACGUUAUGGGAAGUAGUAGCGCUGGAGGGCAUGGAGGUGAUGAUGAUCAGUGGCGUGUAAGAGGCGUCAGAGUGGCAAGUGAGUUGGACAAUAUAAAAAGUCUUAUAAUUAAAGAGCAUGUGUAGUGAUAUUGCAAUGAGUUGGGCGAUAACUUAAUUAAAACUGCAUUAAAAUCAAUGUAAAAGUGGUUAUUGAACAUUAUUUUUCAAUUAUAAAUAUAAUCAACCGUUAUUAUAGAUAUAAAAAUAUACUCUUUGUAUAAACACCGAUAAUUGGUGAAAGUACAUAUAGAGCACAAGCGAGUGAUCCAUCCCAAAUAAUUAACGAUUAUCCUUAAAGAUAGUUCUAUCAUCUAUGUUGUUUGUUGUAGGGGAAAUCAGCCAGAGUUUUUCUAAAGCCCUGUGUUUUAAAGAAUACAUGAUUUGCUUGCUCAUUUUAGACUAAUAGAACUUUUCCUUUUAUAUGUGCAUUUUCCAAAUACCCCUCCUCCUGACUAGAAAUUUUGGUAAACACUGAGUUUGUGGUCGGUCUAUUAAAUUAUUUGAGAUUUAAUCAACAGAUGACAAAGAAUAAAUUGAUAGGGGAUGAUGCUGGAGAGUAAGAAUGGAAUAUGGAGGGCCAUAUUAAACAGAAGAAAGAAAAUUUAACCGACGGCUGACGAAUCUGGAAUUCGGGAUGAGAUGGAGGAGAGAAAGGUAUGAGCGAGGGUAGUUUGGUAAACACACACAAAAUUGUUGUUUUAUUCAGUUUUGUGUCAAAAUACAAAACAUAUUCUACUUACCAAACAAUAUUUUUUAAUUUCCCCAAAUAUUUACAAAACUUCAAUUCCUCAAUUUCUAAAUUCCAAAUUUUCUCCAUUCUGCCUUACCUUAUAACAAACGACUCCUAAGGAAAGUGAAUUGUAACAAGAUAAAGUAUAGUAGGUACCGUAAUCAUUACUAAAAUAAUAGAGACUAUGCCUCGACAACAUAGUCCAAAACUCGGAUAUCAAUCCAAAACUCAUUCCGUUUGGUCAGAUAAAAUCCGAUCAACACGGGUAAUUGACGGGUACGAGUAGAUCUGAUAUCUGUUUAUAUCAAUAACGGACGGGGAUGGAUUUGAUGAUAUCCGCGUCAUAAUUCACCCGAAAGGUACCCAUCACUUAAAAUAACUUCGUGUGACUAUUAAUACAUAUAAAAUCAACAAAAAUUAAUAGAAAAAUUCUAAUUCUAUUUAUUUUUAUGAAAAAGAAAUUCUUAUUUACUUGUUAUAUUUGAUGUACAUUGGUUGUAUGAUUACCAAUUUUUAUUUUGUAAUUUAAAAAAAUUUCAGGCAGUGUUUAUUGUUCAACAUUUGAUUUUUUUUUAUAAAAAUUUUGGUUUUAAUAUUAAUAUCUGAUUAAACGAAUAAACCUGAAACUCAUAAUAGAUGGGGAUGGUUUUCAUAUUAUGCCCAUUUAAAUAAAACAAAUAGAUAUAGAUAAACUCUAACGAAUAAACGGACUAAUGAUGAAUAUACCAAAUACAUACCCAUACUCACCCAAGGCCAUCUUUUAAAUAUAAUUUUAGUACUUACUAACUACAAUACACCACCAAGACCAAAAUGGAAGUAAAAAUAAAUAUUAAAUACUAAUAUGAGGGAAUUUGGAUUUCCGGUAAAAAAACUGAAGACUAUUUGGUGGAGACAAAAAGGGAUCUGAACCUUCCAUUUUAGGUUCAGGAUCUUAUGGAUGAGAUGGCAAAUUUAAUUCAGGGGCGUUUCGCCAUUUUUAGGGUUUCUUUGUUUUUUUCAGGUUAUUUUAGUGUUUUCAUUUAAUAGUGGUUCGAGUACAAUUGUUUUUUUAAAAUUGNNNNNNNNNNNNNNNNNNNNNNNNNNNNNNNNNNNNNNNNNNNNNNNNNNNNNNNNNNNNNNNNNNNNNNNNNNNNNNNNNNNNNNNNNNNNNNNNNNNNNNNNNNNNNNNNNNNNNNNNNNNNNNNNNNNNNNNNNNNNNNNNNNNNNNNNNNNNNNNNNNNNNNNNNNNNNNNNNNNNNNNNNNNNNNNNNNNNNNNNNNNNNNNNNNNNNNNNNNNNNNNNNNNNNNNNNNNNNNNNNNNNNNNNNNNNNNNNNNNNNNNNNNNNNNNNNNNNNNNNNNNNNNNNNNNNNNNNNNNNNNNNNNNNNNNNNNNNNNNNNNNNNNNNNNNNNNNNNNNNNNNNNNNNNNNNNNNNNNNNNNNNNNNNNNNNNNNNNNNNNNNNNNNNNNNNNNNNNNNNNNNNNNNNNNNNNNNNNNNNNNNNNNNNNNNNNNNNNNNNNNNNNNNNNNNNNNNNNNNNNNNNNNNNNNNNNNNNNNNNNNNNNNNNNNNNNNNNNNNNNNNNNNNNNNNNNNNNNNNNNNNNNNNNNNNNNNNNNNNNNNNNNNNNNNNNNNNNNNNNNNNNNNNNNNNNNNNNNNNNNNNNNNNNNNNNNNNNNNNNNNNNNNNNNNNNNNNNNNNNNNNCGUGAUUUUUUACUCGUUUUUUAUUUGAUAUACAUAUUGUUUCUUGACUUUGUAUGUGAAAGCAAAACGACACCCCAAAUAAACAUUAGUAAUUAAAAAAUUGUAGUACAAUACAAGACAAGAAACGAGUACAAAAUUUGAUUCCAAACAAGUACAGUUUAGAAAAACCAGUACCGGUGAAAAACUAAGUACAACAAGAUGACUAUUAAAAGAAUUGAAAAAAGCCAAUAUCCAAAAUAUAGUUCCUACAAAGGUGAUUUUAUGGCCGAAAAUUUUCUUUGAAACGGAGCUCUGGUGGUCGAGAAAAUUUUUCUGAAAUUAUUUGGUCCGACUUAAAAUUGUUAUUGUUUUAAAAGUUAAUUUUUAAAAUGACGUAUUUACUCCUAUUCAACUAAAAGUAUGUUGGAUUGAAUGUCCAAAAUCAACGGUUCAGAUUUAUUUGCUGUUACUCAAUACCACUUAUUGAGCAUGACCCCUCUUCUUCGAUCGAUAGCUGAAACGGUAUUAGAGUUUCGAUCAUCUGAAUAGAUGAAUGCGAUUUGAACACUGAGAGAAGAAGAUUGUUAUUCUUCAUAUUGCUGUGAACGAAGUCGUUAAUUGCAAGGAUAUAAAUGGGCCUGCAGUCAACACAGCCCAAUCACUUAUAACAAUAGACAAAGUCCAAUUGAUUUUCGCAACAGUCUUUGUUCUCACUUUGUUAAGAAACGAAGAACUAUAACUGCAAAUGGAGCUCGAUGAGCAUUAACACAAAAACAGAGAAUAAAUAAACCUAACACACAACAAAUUAAUGAGGUUCCGCCAAAGACAAAAUAGACUUUGUCGUCAAUCCUCGUUCAGAGGUCUCCCUCUCAGGGUUUGAAAGUUUUCGUUAUUAAUAACGUAAGUGUUACAAGCUACAAAAUCACUUUAACCCAACCCAAUGAAUGCUCCCUACAACACCUCUAGCUUCCCGCUAAGUGGAACAAUUCCCUAACUUGACACUCUAAACAAACUACCCAGUACUCGUAAGCUCCUUGCUAACUUGUACUCUUUUUUCCGGUAUAAUCUCUAUAAAUCAACUCUCAAUUUGUCAGCAUUGUGUCAGGUUCAUAUUUAUAGGGCUCUUCACGUGUUUCAUCUUGAACCUGCAGCUGUAAAGAUAAUCACAUGAAGGGUUAAAUAAUAUAUUUGAUUGAUUAUCUUCCCAGACCCCAACCCAUAAUAAAACCCUUUGUUUUAUUUAUCCUGAUUUACUAUCCAGCAGGUUGAUAAGUCUUUAAGUUAUUUCCGACUAAGAUAAUAUGACCCAACAAUCUCUCCCUGGGUCGAAGAAUGUCUCAACCUUGCUAAUCAAUCCCUUCUUGUCAUUGACAAAACAUUUGUUAAUCAGAUAGACUGAAAGCCUGACCAGAGUGUUACUCCCCUUCAGAUUGGACAUCUUCUUUUAGCACAAACAUGUGCCUGCAAACACCAACAUAUGGUUUUGAAGAAGCAACUUUUAUAAUCCAAAAUAGCCAUACUAAAGAAAACACAAGAGCAACACUCAAAACAAACACCAAGACACAGGAACUCAGGCGGAAACUAAAGGAACUAAAUACCAAACAUAGAAGAACAAUAAAAGAGCUCUUAGACUACUUCAUCAUCUUAUGGAUUGGCAGUCUAGAUGUUCAGGCGACGAGUCACUUCAUCGGCAAGGUCAUCAAUGCUGACUGAUCCUCCCCCUGAGACAUUACUCCAUCCAAUUUCUCGAAGAGGCUGUUGCGGACCAAGAGUAUCAAAGGGAGAUACUGCCAAGUACUUGUGAUGAAGACGAAUCCAUAGAUUUGUCAAGAGAAGAGAGAUCUCUGGUCCAAAUGGGAGAGCCCCUGUUAUGUUUGGAUUGCUAUAUUGGACCAUUGUAGUGAACAUGAGACGAGAGAAAUCAGUUUGGAUGUUCUUUAAUGCAUAGUGCAUGAUCCAGAGAUACGACCCUCGGAACGAGGUAGAAACAUCCAAGAAAUAAAGUAGUGUAGGACUCCAGAUUUCCCAGAAACUUUGAGAAUGUUGCGAGUGAUGAGUCCGUAACCGGCAGCCUGGUCUAGAGAGACAAAGUUUCAUCUGGAUUGAAAUUAUACCUUUGAAAAUCGACCUCAGAGAAGAUAACAGCACUGUCGCAUGGUAUUCGAAGAUUUAAAGCAAGAACUUCAGGAGAAAUAAAAAUGAAUGUGACCAUCAACAUACAUGCUAAAGCAUCCUUGAGCCAUAUAACCGUGAAGUUGAAGAUUUGCAUAGAACUGGGCAACAACGUCCCGAAAGAAGAGUCGUAGUCGGUUGAACACUAAGGAACUCCAACCAAGAUUUCUAAUCAGAGAAGCAACAUUGAGACCAUAUUGACCAAAGUCAACAGGGUUAAGCUGCAAAUGAGUUAAAAUAGGUCGAGGAGAAAAUAACCUAGCAUAAAUUGCCCUGUGAGUGGAGCUCCGGAUGAGAUCGUUGGUGUACUAAACGUAAGGACCAUGAGAGCCAAGAAAGGGAUUAGAGAAACUCAUGAUGAGAAGAGCAGAUGAGAGUGCUAAAAGUGCUAAAAGAAAUAGGCCUUUAAUAUAAGUUCAACUUCUCUCUUUAAGAGAGGCUACGCCUGUAGACAUGAGCAUCCCAACAGAUCUACAUAACAUUAAAUACCAUUCAAUAGGCAGAGGUUUGGUAAAGAUAUCAGCAAUUUGAAACUCAGUGUCAACAAAAUCAAUUGCAAUUACUUUGCUAGCAACAAGAUCACGAAUAAAAUGAUGCUUUAUAUCAAUGUGUCUUUAGUUCUAGAAUGAUGUACUGGAUUAUGAGUAGUAUUUAUGACAUUCGUAUUAUCAUAAAGCAUGGGGGUGGUCAAGAGAUGCAUACUGGAAUCAUUGAGCUAAGUUCGCAACCAAACGAGUUGUGUACAAUAGCUACCAGCCGCUACAUACUCUACUUCUCCUGUAGAAAGAGCGACAGAGCUUUGUUUUUUGCUGAACCAUGAGAUCAAGGAGUUGUCGAUGAACUAACAAGUUCCUGAGGUGCUUUUUGGUCUGUAAGACUUCCUGCAAAGUCAGCAUCUGAAUAGCCAAUAAGAUCAGGACAGGAAUCGCUGGUGUACCAUAGACCAAGAUCCAUUGUCCCUGGUAAGUAACAAAAAAUCCUUUUAACUAUAAUGAAAUGACUUUCCUUAGGAUUACUCUAAAAUCUUACACAGACUCCAACACUAAAUGAAAUGUCCGGUCUGCUAGCUAUAAGGUACAGAAGAGAACCUAUCAUGCCUUGAUAGAGCUUUUCAUUUACAACUGUUCCUCCUUCAUCAGAGCCCAAUUUAAUGGAAGUAGACAUAAGCGUCGAACAUGAUCUAUAAUCAGAGAGACCAAAUUUUUCUAUCAUGGUACGAUAGUAUUGAUAAGGCUAGAAUUUGUAGCAAUUAUCUACCCUUUUAUGCAUGUUUUUUGAGUGAUUAUUAGUUUGUUCGAGAUUCAUUCCUAUAUGAUUUCGUGUUUUGGCAUCACAUGCCUAGAUCCGCUUAUUUGGACCGUUUCGGUCCAUUUAAUGUGUUCUUUGUAGUAUUUGUCCCCUACAGGUACUUCAGAGAUAGGUGGUAUGGCUAUGAAGCCAAGGACGUAAAGUAUAGCACGAUUGGAGCUCAAACGGUAGAGUGAGAAAAGGAAUAGAGAAGCAAAGGGACUGCACGCCGUGCAGCACUGCACACUGUGCAGCCCUAAAUCAUGUUGAAAAUGUCAGCCUCAAAACGUAGGAACGGUGUGCACCCCUACACCACUGCAUACCGUUCCGCCCUUUUUGGUUCGAGGAAGUUUAGAGAUUAGGAGGUGCAUGGCGUGCACCACUGCAUGUCGUUCCCUUUCAUUUGCUAUGCAGAAAGAAUGAAGAUAGGGAGGUGCAUGACGUGCACCCCCCAAUUUCAGCAUCUUCUUAUAAAAGGGCUGAUUUUGAGGAAAGAGAAAGACAAGCCCCCAAACACGAAUUCUCUCGAUUUUCCCGACUUUCUUCUCCAAAAACCAGCACAAAACCUAUCUUAGAAGCUCAAUUGAAGAUCCAAGAGUUCCUAAUAAAGAUUGAAGCUAGGAUUGAUGUUAGGAUUGAAGCUAGAAGACCCAAAUCCAUGAUUGGAGGAAGAACAAUCCAUGAUCUCUUCGACAAAAUGAUGGUUAGGGUUUCUUUUGAUUUGUCUUCUUCUAGAGUUAUGAGUAACUACAUCUGUAGAGAUUCUUGGUUGAGAUGUAGGAUUUGAGCCAUGAUACCUGUCUUGAACGUUUAAAAACGACGAUUGUGGAUAUUUGGAUAUGAGUGAAAGAUUGUUUUGAUUGUUUUGAUUGUUUUGUUUUCAACCUAAUUCUUGUUACGGCUUGAAUUAGGUCAAAUUUAUGAAAUUCUUUGUUUGAUAGAAUUAGGAAUUCCUAAGAUUAAUAAUCAAGGAUAGAUGAAAAGUUAUCGGUGGGGUAAGCCGAUAACCCAAUUCUUCCUUUUGUGUUUCUUCUAGUUUUAAACGUUAUUCAUCUUGUAAUUGGCGUGUAGUUAUCAGUAGUUUAGGCAUUGAUGUACCAAGUUAACGCUAUUUUCAAUUACUCAUGAUUUCUUUUAAUUUCGGAAGUCUCGUGGUGUCUUUUAAUUCCGGAAGAACACCUUAUCACUUUGUAUUUCUUCUCGGUGUUUAUUACCUACUAGCUUGAUUAAGGUUAUUUCUACCUUAGUUAGGAAGCCAGUAAUGGUAAUCUGAGUGCAUGAUCAUGCCACGAAUUCAUACGAGUGAUAGGAGGAUUCCUAUUAUUCAUUCAAAGUCCAACAUUUGUUCAUUUCGAAUGCGUUUAGGAAGUUAAGCUUGAUGACUUAUCUCUUCCAAGAACUCGUUUUCUCCCGUUGACUCAACCUUUGAAGUGCUAGUUUUAAUUAAAUAUUAGAAUAAUUAAAACUCAAACCCAAUUGUUAAGAGAUGAAGAAUUAUAACUGCAAAUGGAGCUCGGUCAGUAAUAACACAAAGACGGAGAAUAAAUAAACACAAGACACGGCAAAUUAACGAGGUUACGCCAAAGCCAAAAUAGACUUUGUCGUCAAUCCUCGCUUAGAGGUCUCCCUCUGAGGGUUUCAAAGUUUUCAGUUGAUUAAUGUCGUGAGCGUUACAAGCUAUGGAAUCACUUUAAACCAACCCAGAUGAUGCUCCCUGCAACACCUCUAUCUCCCUGCUAAGUCGAAUGAUUCUCUAACCUGACACGUACCAGACGUGCUUUUGCGAUCAAUUACAUUGCCAGCAAAAUCAGAAUCGGAAAAGCCUAUCAAGUCCAUGGAUCCCUCAGCAGGAUACCACAGUCCCAAUUCAAGAGUUCCAGAAAGAUAUCGAAAAAUUCUUUUUACAAUCUUUAUAUGAGUGUCGUGAGGUUUACUUUGAAAACGAGCACAAACACCUACACUAUAUGCAAUGUCAGGUCUGCUGGCAGUAAGAUAGAGAAGAGAUCCUAUCAUUCCUCGAUAUAAUUUCUCAUUAACAGGUUUUCCAGGAGCUUCAUUAUGUAUGAGUAGCACAAUUUUUUAUUAAGGGAUAGUCAAACUUGGUUAGCGUAUUUUUACAGUAUUUAGUCUAACUUAGAAAAAUACCAAAUUGAGUUUGCUUGAUUUGCAAUCCAAGAAAGGAAGAGAGUUCCCCAAUUAAGCUCAUUUCAAAUGCAUCCUGUAUUGUUUUACUAAAUUCCAUACAUAGACUUUCGUUUUGUGAACCAAAAAUAAUAUCAUCAACAUAUACUUGAACAAUAAGAAGACAAGAUUCUACUGUUUUUAUAAAAAGAGUGUUGUCCACUGAACCUCUGGUAAACCCGUGAGAAAUUAGAAAUGAACUUAGCUUGUCGUACCAGGCCCUAGGAGCCUGUUUUAAACCGUAUAGAGCCUUAUUUAGUUUAUACACGUGAUGAGGAAAUGCAUGAUUUUCAAAACCAGGUGGUUGAGAGACAUAAACUUCUUCUUGUAAAUCCCCAUUUAGAAAGGCACUUUUAACAUCCAUUUGAUAAAGCUUGAAUCGAUUUAUACUGGCAAACGCACACAAAAGACGAAUGGCUUCUAGUCUAGCUACUGGAGCAAAGGUUUCAUCAAAAUCAAUACCUUCCUCUUGAUCGUAUCCUUGUACUGAACUCUUGAUUUACGAAUUCUCCACCAUUAUCACUACGAAUUUUAACAAUAGUUUGCUGUUUUUCAUUUUGAGUUUUGUUUCUAAAUACCCAUUUAGUUCCUAAAAUUGUUCUAUUCGUAGGCUUAGGAACAAGACUCCAGACACACAACCUAUCAAACUGAACCAUCUCCUCAUUCAUAGCUAAAUUCCAAUCAUCAUCUAAUAAGGCUUCUUUCUCAUUUUUUGGUUCUAAAAUUGACACAAAUGCAGAAUGAGAUGUUUGGGAGCGAGUAAUUAGACGAUCGUUAAUAUUUCCGAUUACCUGGGGAGGGGGGGGGCUCUUCUGUAUGGGGUCAUGAAUUUUAGAUUUGAAACUACUUCUAACUUGCUUUCCCUUAGCACAAGCAUCACAGAUUUUGUUUUUAGCAUAACUUAACUUGGGAAGACCCCUGACCAGGUUUAAGCUACUUAGUUUAGCUAGUAUCCCUAUGCUUACAUGCCCUAACUUUUGAUGCCAUGCAAACUGUUCAUCCACUUUCAUUGAUACAAGUGUGUGAUUGUUUGAGGGGAUGGUGUCUCACUGUUUCCAUUAUUGAGAGUGUUGUCUUCCUGAUGUGUGCUCAGCUCUGCUUCGGAGUUAUCACUGUGGCCAGAAUUUGUUUGUGAUUGAAGCCUGGGAGCAUAAUUAGUAUAAGACAGUUCUAAAGUAUCAUCAUUAGCUCCCUGUAACUCAAGAACAGAAUUAGUAUUCUCAUCAAAUAUCACAUUAACUGAUUCUUCCACUUUAUUAGACUGCUUAUUGAAGACAAGACACAAUUCAUCAAUGUUUUCAAUUAUUUUUAAGUUAACUAGAUAGAUAUUUCCCUUUUUAUAUCCUUUGAAAAGAACAGAGACUCUAUAAGCUCGACUGUGAGCAGAGUAGCCUAGAAAUAUCCCUUCAUCUGAUUUAGCGUCAAAUUUACCUAAGUGAUCUUUAGUGUUAAGGAUAAAGCAUUUGCAUCCAAAAGGCUUAAAAUACCCUAUACUAGGUUUUUUAUUUUUCCAGAGCUCAUAGGGAGUUUUAUUAAACCUGGAACGAAUGAGGGCCCUAUUUGUAACAUAGCAGGCUGUGUUAACAGCUUCUGCCCAUAAUUUUGGACUAAGAGCAAAGUCAUUUAGCAUAGUUUUAGCGAUUGCUAUUAAGGUUCUAUUUUUUCGUUCAACUACUCCAUUUUGCUGAGGCCAUCAGCCAGAUAACAGACCUGCAUCAACACUAGUCAUUUGGUUUUUUGCAUCCAACGGCCUUGGAUGUUGAAUUUUUAUUAGCAUAAAACAUACAUUCAGCUAUUGAGUGAUUAGAUGUGUGACACACAUGACACCAGUUAUUAUAAUCUAUAGCAGUUUUACAGAAUGACCUUAGUUCUCUAUAUCUAGGCAGAAAGUAAUUAUGACGAUAGUAAGGCCAUCUCCUUAAUUCUCUUUUAAGAACUCCAUUCUGUCUAAGAACAUUUCUAAGAUUAUUUUUAACAUUCAUAGUUUUCUGUUUGGCAAGUCUAAGGUGUUCUUUAGCAUUUUCAGAUUUUUGUAUUUCAGCUGUAAGUUUUCUUUUUAGGUCUGAGUACCUUACUCUAAAUUCAGCAAACUCAGAAGUUAUCUCUUCUAUAGUCUCAAGCAACUCUUCUUCAUUUUCAGAGAAACUAUCUAAAUUAGAAUCAUCAAUUUUCUCAUCUGCACUUAGAUUGUUUAGAGAUACCUCAAUUUUUUCGUUUACAGUUGCUUUGAUUUCUGAAGUUUCUUCAUGUAGUUCCUCAGCUAUUGCCAUGAGUGCAUGCUCUUCAUCAUCUGACGCUUCACUUUCAUCUUCACUUGCACUCCAAGUUGCUUGGAAGGCUUUCUCCUUAGUAGUGCAUUCAGCUCUAAGAUGUCCCAUCUUUCCGCACCUGAAACAUAUUGACGAACUAGCAGUACCCUCUUUUCUAGGUUUAAUACCAUUUCUCAGAGAAAAAACCAUUAUCUUAGGUUCAUCAGAUUUUUCAGCAUCUUUAUUUCUGAAGUUGCUACGUUGUUUUCUUAAGCGAAUCAUUUUACUGACCUUUUUUAUAAUAGUGCAAGCUCAUCAUCAUCAUAAUCAUCUAAGUUAUUAGUACUAGUAACUAGACUAGCAAUUUCUGUAUUAGUAUCUCUUUUUAAUAUUUCCUCAUGAGUAAGAAGUGAUCCAAGCAGCUCAUCUAGCUUAAUAUCAGCAUGAUUCUUUGUUUCCUCAAUGGCUGUGACCUUAGGAAGCCAUUGACUAGGCAAACACCACAAAAUCUUUCUGAUUAUAUCCUCAUUUUCAUAGAUUUUUCCUAGUCCUUCCAAUUUAUUGAUUAUAUUCUGAAAUCUAUCAGCCAUAUCUCUAAUAGUUUCACCAGGCUCCAUUUUAAAAAGUUCAAAUUCCUGUUUCAGCAUACUAAUUUUAGUGGUCUUUACUAGGUUAGUUCCUUUAUAGGUUAUACAUAACUUGUCCCAGAUUUCUUUAGUAGAUUUACAAGUAGAUAUCCUAUUGAAUUCUUCCUUUCCUAGAGCACAGUACAUAAGAUUAAUUGCUUGAGAAUUUAGUUGCACUUUUUUAAUGUCAUCAUCUGUCCAUUUAUCAAUGUUAGCUUUUACCUCUUGUGGACCAUUGACUAUGAGAACCCAUAGUAAUGGGUUGACAGUCUUGAUGAACAAUUCCAUACGGUUCUUCCAGUAUCCAAAGUGAGCACCUUCAAAUCUGGGAGGGCGAUUUGCUGAAAAUCCAUCUGCCAAAAAAAUUGCUCCCUGUGACUCACUCAUCAUGAUUCAACUACAAGCAGCUACUCAAUUACUAAGGAUCAGAAAUCACCUGGAUUAGUACUUGCCGAGGGUUGAUUCGAUAAGCUAACCAGCUCUGAUACCACUUGUUGCAAUCUGAUCCUCGUGCUUUCAAUAUCAGUUGAGACUGUUUCAAUAGAAGAAGAUGAUUAAGCUCCUUAUAUAACUCUAGAGUUAGUUCAGUACUUGAAUGAACUUAACAUAGAAUGCAUGCAACACAAGAUCACAAAUUCAAGACAUGCAUGCAACAUUAACUCUUCAGAAGCUUCAAUCUCGAUUAACAUAUGCAGAAGCAGUUUAUUAGGUUGACAUAAUCAGCAAUGGAUAUUCUCAGUGACAAGGAACUAAAUAAGUAACUUUAAAUGACAACUCGACAACCUUAAACACACUGAGUCUUAAACGUCAAUUCGUGGCCCUUGAUUGACUCUGUUAGGCUCCAGCUUCACUCCAGCUUCCAGGGUUGUCCAAUCAAGCCUUCAAUCGAUGUAGCUCCAGCUCCAGUCGUGCAAAAAUCCUUCAGACGAAACUCCAAGCUUUGACGUGUUUAUUUCCAGUUGAGAAGCGCAACUUGGACGAUUUGCAGCCUCUAGCUUUUAUUGUUGCCGUGGCUUGCUUUCAUUUAAUGAGGCUAGUGAGAUCGAAGCUUCCUUCUUUCCAAACUCGACUUCGAGUUCUUCGCAUCGCGGCCGCCUUCUCUUUUUGAUUCUGUAAGUCAAAAAUACCAAUUAGGGUUAGGAUCAAUUCACGACACUAAUGGUCGCUGCUUCUCCUGAGUGUCAGCUUGGGUUGGGCUUCUGUCAGAGUCUGUGUGGGCUGUUCAUGGGCCGAAACUUGAGCCUUAUCACUCAGGCUUGAUUUAUGUCAACACAAAGGAGGAACAACGGUUGGGUCACUGAUAGAGAUAUCUUCUCUGGAGCAUAUCAAGAUAAAGUAUAGUAGGUACCGCAAUCAAUGAUGGAAGAAACUCCAGGACUUUAAGGGGUAUCAUUUUUUGUGUUUGUGUUGCCGCUCGUCAAGUGUGACGGUUGAGAGCUAGGGAGAGUGCUCUGUUUUCGUCCAACUUGUUGCUGCACCAAUCAUGGGGUUCGGUAAAAAAGUUUUUCACUGUGUAUCGGACCUUUCCUUAUACUAGUAAUGAGUAAUUGCACUACUAGUAAAACUUGAUUGAGGAAGAUAGAAGGAUAUGAAGAAGAAUAGCUUUUUGGAAGCAAUGUGGUCUAAGGCUGUUAUAGGGGAAACCACCUUGAGUAGUAAUGAAAUUCACAACUUUGUCAAAAUCUUUGUUUGUUUGUUCAAAAUGAGUUUGGGGAAUUGGAAAUCAAAAUUCAUCUAGACCCACAUUUAAGCAAAAAAUAUUCUAUUUUCGGAUAUGUUUGUAUAAACCAACAUUUUUAACUUCCUCUGCAAGGACCCACUUACCUCCCUGCUGGAAGUAAAUUCCACUCACACCCUCCCAUUUCUUUUCUCCUUUUGCACAGAUGCAUCUCGACCUCAAUAUUUUCUUUACUCAAAUCAAGAGAUUUAAAAUAUAGUAUAGGAUUAAGAAUAAACUAGAGAGCGAUAAUGGUGGGAGAAGAUGACAUUAGUUCCAUCUCCGACACUGGUACAUCCGAUGGCAUCAGUUCAAUCUCUAGUGUCUACGGCGCCGAUACAUCUAAUAUAAGUGAUAUUGGUGCUAUUUAGACAGCAAAAUAUUCGAAAAAUGAACUUCCCAAGUUUUACUAAAUCCUUUGAUCUACAAACUACCCUUUAUUAAUUCCAAAUAUUUUCUCAUUGAUCUACAAAAUAAUCUUUACGUCUAUCUUCUCUGUAUCAUUUAGAAAAGAUAGACGUAAAAAGAAAUAGAGACGGUAGAGGAGAAACGGAAUAAGAAAGAAAGCUAAAAUAAGUAAUGAAUGGUGGAGGUAAUUUGAUUAUUAUACAAACAACUCAUUUUUAUCCAAAUAUUUAUGAUAGUGAAAUUUUUUAUAAUUCACCUCUAUUAAACUGUGGAUUUCAUUUUUCUUCAAAAUAUAUAUAAAUUUCAAUUUCUCAAUCCUCAAAUCUCUAAUUAUCUUCCUCUUAUUUUCCCUAAAGCAAACAUGACCUAAAUUAUUUAGUUCAAAAAUCGAAAUUUGAUUUGAUCAAUCAAUCCUCAAUCUAGAAUUAAAUUUAUAUUUUUUUUGUGAUCCAAAAUCAAAUAUGUGAUAUACCUAUAUAGAAAUGGGAGAGUGAGACUCGUGGGCCGGAUUGAUAAAUACUUGCAUUACUUUUCAUCCAAUUAUUUUUCCAAUAUUCAUCAGCUGGUUUUUCAGUAAUUUCGCCAGUAGCAAGGAGCCACUUGGAGAAGUAGCAAAACGACGUCACCGAAUCCAGGACUGACACGUAUCACCUCGGUAAUCGCUAGUAACAUACCCACCAUUCCGGAUUUCGUUUCCUACAAAUAUCUACACUGCUCAGUACUCAAUCAUUCCACACGUUCCUCACCUCACUACCAUGGAUCGCUCAACCAAGUUUUCUCUCCUCCUCUUUCUCUCGAUCCUCUUCUCCUCUUCCGCCGCCCUCUCCGUAUCGGAGAUGGUUCCGGAGGAGGAGCCUCUGAUUCGACAGGUAGUUUCCGGGAUCGAGGACCACCUCCUGGACGCCGACGGCCACUUUGCCAGCUUCAACACAAAGUUUNNNNN
rnacentral:lncRNA from 1 species